UUUUUUUUUUUUGAAAGAAUAAAGUUCAAUAUGGGGGGAUCGUAACUGCUAGUCAAUUAUUUCAAAAGCACAUGAUCGGCGAUAGGAAGAGUACAUCCAUCGCAUGUGAGGACUCAGAGAUAACAAGGCUUACGAAUUUCAACCUGGCUCAAUUCAUCUGAAUGUUAAAUCUAUUGUUGGGUCGCUUGUCGCUAAGUUUAUUAUAGAUUGAGACCAGCUUAUUUAUCUGACAUAUUAUUACGGAGCAAAAAAUUUGAGCUUAUUUUAGCCAAUAACAAAUCGCCAACACAUUACCUCAAACCUAAUGUUGAGUGCUACAAAGUAGUCAGCAUUGACAGCAACCGUGGGGCUGUGGAAGGUCUUGAGGGGCUUCCCAUCCUUUCCACCUGUGGAUGCUGUGUCAUUCCCUGUUAUGGUGGGAGGGCUCUCUCCAGUGCCCAACAGGGUUAUGAAGGACAUGGCCUUUGGAAUCACUAUCUUUUCCCUAAAAUCACAACAUCACUACAUUAUUAAAUAUAUAUAUAGUCCGGCUACUAUACUAUCGAUAGUACCAAGUCCUUGGUACAUACUAUUGAGUUUUCUACCGUUAGAUCUUCCCUUCGAUUAUUUCCACCCGUUAGAUUAUACUAUUAAACCAACCAUCCACACAACCCUAGGGGAUUAUUAUCAAUUUAACCGGGGACCACUAUCAUCCUAACCGCACAUCCUUUCAUCCAACGGCCGAAAACUCAAUAGUACCAAAGGCUUAGUACUAUUGAUAGUAUAGUAGCAUAAUUCUAUAUAUAUAUAUAUAUAUAUAUAUAUAUAUAUAUAUAUAUNGGAGCUUUCAAAUCGACGAUCGGCACUAUUGAACAUAAUCUAUAUCACUUGAAGUAUUUAGAAAUCAAAUUUCAAAUCUUUUCGAUAUCAUUUACUUAAUGAUUAAAGGGUUUCAAAAUUAGUAAUUUUAAUUGUUAAUAUGAGGGGUUUUCUCGUUUAACGGUGUAAAGCUAUCCAAAUCAAUUGAAUUUUGGUUAGAAAAUUUUUUAAACUAUUUAGAACAAGAUCUAUACUCUCGAUCAUGAUUACAAAAUUUCUAUCAUUAUUUUUUAGAGGAUAUUCAUUUUCAGCCAUUCAUUUUUACGCCCACUUGAUGGACAAGAAAAUAAUAUCGAAAAAGUAUGAAAUUUAAUUUCUAGAUACUUCAAGUGGUAUAGAUCAUGUUCAACGGUGCCGAUCGUCGAUUUGAAAACUCCAUCAUCAAAAACAAAUGGGUGGCAACGCAGCCCGUUUGCUACCGAUAGUAUUCCAACUCAACUCUACAUAUAUAUAGUUCUUUACUCAAGAAGUAGAAGUUAACAAACAGAAAAUCUAGAACUAAUUAAAUAGCUAGCAUCGACAAAAUAAUAGUUCUAAUUUAAAAUUUUUGUUCUGAUCAAUCAGCGCGCUGUUAUUAACAAAGAAAUGCAGCAAAAAAAAAAAAAAGUGACAAAUGUAGAACCAAAGAAGAAAAUUCUUUUAUUUCCUUUUUUCUAAGUAAUAAGAUAGUUACAUAUUGAUCAACAUUAAUUAUCAUCUCUCAUAGUCCAAAAAAAAAAAAAAAAAAAAAAAAACACUAAAGUUGUACUAUAGAAACAUGCUUUUAUAAGCCAAUUUUACUGAAUAUAAAUUAUAUAGAUGCUCUUAUUUGAUAGUAUAAGUUUUGAGAAAAAAUAGUUAUUUUUUUUUUUUUUUUUUUUUUUUUUUUUAUUUCAUAUAUAUUAAUAACGGUAUCAGAAAAAAAUUCUGUGUCCGAGUCCACCAAAUUUUAAACGUUAUUUAAUAAUUUUUUCAUUAAAAAAAAAUAUAAAAUAUGUAAACAUCAUUCUCCCAUAACUAAGUCUAUCGAAAGAACAGCUGUUUCCAUAUAAUUAACAAAUAAUAUAUAUAUAUUAUAUAUAAUAUAUAUAUAUAUAUAAAAGAUGAUUGAGCUAGGUAUCAACAAUAUAUAUAUAUUACGCUAUAAAUUCCUGGUUUGAUCACAAAUAUGACUCUCCUAGUGUUGUCAAUGGGUAUCAUCUAUGGCUCCCCUUAAGCUCCUAAUAAAUCUCCACUUCCAUCUGGCACACAGUGGAUCCACCACCGCCGGCUGCGGCCUCGCCAGCUUGCGUCGAGGGCCUCCGACCGCUGCCCUCCCGCCGCCGCCGUUCGGUGAGUAGUAGGUUCAGGUGGAGUGCAAGUAGUAAGUCCUUUUGUAAUUUUGAACAUUCCAAGAUACCACCUCUUGAAACCAUUUGUGCUUGGUUAAGAGGAGGAGUAGCACUAGAGAAGGAUGUGCAAGGUGAGAGAGAGAAUGUGAGAGAGGAAGAGAGAGAAAGGUUGGACCUUUGAUGACAUGAAGAUGAUCAUGGAAGAGAGAGAGAGAGAGAGAGAGAGAGAGGUUGCAAAAGUUUCAAGUUGUUGUGGAGCCAUAUACAUGGUGGGGAGGGUUUAAAUAUUGCAUGAGAUUGGAGACAUAAGAUAAGGAAAAGGAAAAAGGGACUUUUGCUUAUUUAUUUCUGAAUAAUGUUCAAAAAUUUUCAAUAUUUUUCUAAAUUUUAAAUCCAAUUAGUAAAUCCUAGCUAGGGGUUUGGGGAUAUUUAAAGAAAUUCUGAAAAUCAAUAAAGGUAUUUUGAUCGACCAGAAGAAAAUUAAAUACUUUUAAAGAUUUGAAGGGUAUAAUAUUGGAUAUUAUUUCUUGAAAAAUAAUUAGUUUUUCUAAAAAUCUAAGUUAUUAUAAAUAUAUAUAUAUAUAUAUAUAUAUAUAUAUAUAUUUUUCAUGUCUGGCUCAAAUCUUGACUUUUUAUUUUAAUUUCAUAAUAAAUUAUAUGGAACAAUAAUCUUACUCCUAAAACUUAAGCUCUCAGCGAACAGAAUAUAUUAUAUUUUGUAUUCAAUGCUUUUAUUAAAGAGAAAUCAUUUUUUAAAAAAACUUUCUUAAACUCGAAUUUAACUGAAUUACUAAAGAAAUCGAAUCACAUAGUUCAACAUGAGUCAAUUCAGUUUCAUAAUUCAAUGUGGACAAAAAUAUGAUAAUCCAAUUUGAACCAAAAAAAUAAUUACAUCAGCAUGACAUUAAUAUUGGUGGUAUUUUUUUCCAAAAAAAAUAAUUUCCUUGCUACUUCAUCAAAAGGCAAAAUGGUAGGAGCAACAUGACAACUGGUUCCCAUUUUUAAUCUUUUCCAAUACAAUGAUACAUACAAUAGUGGAGGAUCACAUACAAUAUAAUAUAUAUAUUGCACUGUUCUUAGUUAUUUCUCACCACUCUUGUGUAAUUUAUGGGCCUCAGAAGUGGAGCAACAACUUAUGCUUGUCCUUGUCCCUUUAUCUAUUUAAUUUAACUUCUUGAGUUAAGAGUUUUUGUGUGGUGUGAUUUUUCAUAGAGUGUGGGUGUGCUUAUAUAUUUACAUAUGGGUGUCAAAAACUGAUUAAGAUCACAUGCACAUAUAAUUUUCUUCAAGUGUAAAUAUAUAUGUGAAACAAUUAUUUGUUUCAGACAUUUAAUGAGUACAGUCUCUAAUAUAAGAUCGCUAGCUUUAUCAGUCAUUCAACACACGAUCAGUACGAAUCGCAAAGUGAUACGGUAGUUAAUGGAGCACUCUCAAGCACUUCAAGAUUGUUCCCAUAAAAUUUUUAUUCGUUUGUACCCGUUCAAAUCUCGUAAAUCAGUAAAAGCUCUAUCAAAUUAAUUUUUAGAUAGAUUAUAUCGUCUCAGACUCAAUUCUAAGUCUUUUGAUUUUCUGCUGAGGCCUUGUAGUUGAGAUUAGCGGUGGGUUAACUUCAAUGUUAGGACUAUUUUUAACCGUUUUUCAUUAAAUCAAACUUUUGUAUAACACAAAAAACAGUUCAUCAGAGCAUCAUAUUGACCUAUAAGCAUGGCUUUUCUUUUUUCUUUUUUAUUUUUUUGCAUUACUCUGCUAGUGGUGGCCACUGAAAUUGUCAUUGAUGUCAAAGGCUGCUGCAAGCUACCACUAUGCAUGCAGGAAGUGCUUUUUCUCCAGCAAUUGAUAAGUUGCAACCAAAUUGUUAAUUUAAGGUUUUAUUGAUUUAACCAGUGAUUAGAUAAUUAAUUAAAUCAGGACUAUUUUUAAAAUAAAAAUUUGUCAGGGACUAAAUUGAAAAAAAGCCCCAUCCUCACACUCUCUCACACACUCUCUCUCUCUCUCUCUCUCUCUCUCUCCCCUCCUAAAUCCAUAUUCCAUCAUCAUCAUCAUCUUUUCCUUCUUCUUCUUCUUCUCCACCCACACGCAUACACACCUCCUCCCAAUUCCCAAUUUGGAGCUCCCUCCUCCCUUCCAUGGCCGCCGCCGCCGCCGCCGUUGUCGCCGCCGGCCGUCCUCCGCCGCCGCCGCCUCGGAGGAGCUCCGCCGCCGCUCGCGCUGGAGCCUCGCACUCUCUCUCCUCUCCUCUCUUUCUAGGUCUCUCUCUCUCUCUCUCUCUCUCUCUCUCUCUCUCUUACCAUCUUUUUUUUUGUCCUACUUUUUUUACGCGUAAAAAUGCGAUUUUUACCCUUUUUUUUCUUUGCUUGCAUAUGUGAGAUAUGCGAGAUUAUUAUUACGUGGACACAUCCUAAAUUUUUCUUUGCUUGCAUGCGAAUUCCGGUUCGAGAAUUGAAAUUUCUGUUUAUCUCUGCAAAUUAAUGAGACUUCUUUUUUUUUUCCCCCUACAUUUGCUUGAAUUGUGAUUGUUGUUUGUGAGAAAAAUGCAAUUUUGAAAGGGGUUUUGGCGAAUUGGUAAGUUGCUAUUGUUGUUGACUUGAUUAUACAAAAAGGGCUGAUUUUUAUGGAUAAAAAUACAAUUUUUUUUCCUGCUCUUCUUCGUUUCAUACAUAAGAAAUGAUUCACAAUUUUAAUAGUUUAGAAGUGUUUUAGUAAUUUGGAGUUUGUUUUUCGUUGUUGUUGUUGAGUUUUUUCUUUUUCUUUUUAUUGUGAAUUGAUAGGAAUUGGGUGUUGAGAGUAAUUUAAAAUGUUGCUAAAUCUACACUAAUUUGUCGAAAUGUAGUAAAUUUUGCAUGGGUGUGUUUAUGGAUUGUUUGUUAAUUUUGUUACAAAAGUGAAAUUAUCGAAUUGAGUAUAGAGACUGAAGCGAAAUCGAACCAAAAUAAUUAGAUUAAAUUUAUUUAUUUUUUUCGGAUUUGGAUACGACAAAUUUGGAUAAGAACUACAAAACAUUUUCUCAUGGCUCCAUUGUAGAAGUGGACUAAAGUUUUUUCGCAGUUCCCAGGAGGAAUGUGAUAGCUUCAAUGCUAUCGAGUCUCGUUUUCGCGCCCAUCGCACGCCACGAAAUCGCAAUCGCCGACGCCUCCUCGUUCGGAUUCAGAGAGUACAUCGACAACUUCGACGGCUACACCUUCUUGUACCCGAAGAGCUGGAUCCAAGUCCGCGGUGCCGGCGCCGAUAUCUUCUUCAGGGACCCUUAUGUUCUCGACGAGAACUUGUCGGUGGACAUAUCGUCUCCCUCGUCUUCCAACUAUAGAAGCGUCGAAGAUCUCGGGACCCCGGAAGCUGCCGCGGAGAAGGUUUUAAAGCAGUACCUGACUGAGUUCAUGUCGACGAGAUUGGGCGUUCGGCGCGAGUCCAACAUCUUGUCUACGUCGUCGAGAGUUGCGGAUGAUGGAAAGGUUUACUAUCAAGUUGAGGUAUAACUUCAUAAGCAUUGCAAGCUUAAGUUUAAGCUAUUUUGGAUCAGUUCAGGGAUUAGAUAAUGUCCCCCGCCUUUUUACGUAUUUGCAGGUGAACAUAAAGUCGUAUGCGAGCAAUAACGAAUUGGCCGUUAUGCCGCAAGAUAGGGUGCAGCGGCUCGAAUGGAACAGGCGAUACUUGUCGGUUCUCGGCGUCGAGAACAAGCGGCUGUACGAGUUAAGAUUACAAUCCCCUGAAGAUGUGUUCCGCGAGGAGGAGAAGGACUUGCGCGAAGUCAUGGACUCGUUUCGGGUUGUGAAGGCGAUCGAUUGAGAGCAACAACACUCUUGUGAUUUAGAAUAGGAAAAAGAAAAAGGACAAACGAAAAUAGUGCGCGGCGUAAUAGAGGAGGUUAGAUUGUUUUCAAUCUGCAGUUGUUGAUGAGUUUGAUCUCCUUUUGUGCAGCUCAAAAGAUACUUAUUUCCAGUUCUAAUCACCACUUAUGAUCUGAAAUUGUCUGGUCGUUAUUAAUCAUACCACUACCACUAGGAUGUAUCCCGACACUGAUGAGCAGUAGAAUCAAUUCAGAAUCAUUGUUUAUCGUUUUGUUUUCUUUUUACUAAAUCUUAUUAUUUCAACAAUAUACAUGACUAGAAUAUAUUCCGUCGCUAAUCAGUAGUGGAAUCAACCUGUGUUUAGAUUUUCUACGCACAUGGCGAUUCCAAUCCCAUAUACAUAGGAUCAAAAGAAUCAACAACAAUAUCAAUGAAAAAAAACCCACAAUUUUCACUGCAAUCAUAAACUUCGCCUGAGUUACUCUUAAUUAUGGAACAUUACAUUGCAAAUGAUCACACAUACAUUCACCGUUGCAUGUCGAAACAUUAUGUAUUACAUGGUGAUCAAUUUUUGUAAACCAAACAGCCAAACAAAUUGCCACAAAUUUAUCGUAACUAUGCCCAGAAAAUAAAACUGAUCACACAAGGUGAUAAAUAGCAAAAAUAAAGCCCUAAGCCACUAUUCUUACUCAUCUGCUACUGCAGUUAAUAACCUUAAACGUCCAAGAUUCAAAUGGGUACAAAGUUAUGGUGUAAAAAAUAAAAUGAUUGGUUUUCAGAUUAGUGCAAAGAAGUGGAAAGCAAGCGCAAAACCUGAUACAACAUCUCAAUCAAAAGAACUCAAAGAUCUAAGCAGUCUCGAGUGGCAGAUAUUUGGGCAGUUUACAGGCAUCUGAUAAAUAGAGUUCGAAAAAACUCGAAAAGCAUUGAACCCAUAUUCAAACAAUUGCCAUGGUUGGUUAAACGGAAGGAGGAACAAGGUCACAUUCUAUCCUCCCUCUUCCUCGGAGCGCAAGUAAUGAUCUCAUCAACCCUCAGUAUCAUCUCAGCCGCCUCGGUCGCCGAUAAAAGUACAGCUUGUUUAACUUUGAAGGACUCCGAGAUUCCGAGCUUUUCCAUGUCGCCAACCUGCACCAGCAUUGCAAUGUUAUUGUUUUAUGAUUAGCAAAAUUUUCAUCAUAACAAAACGUAAUCACAAUCCAUCCUGGAAUUUCCAUGCAAUCGCUUUUAGCUCAACAAAAUUGAGUGUUAGGCCCCCAAAGUCCAUAAAUUAUGCAUUCUGACAUUUACCAAAGUUUCCCACCUUAGGGAGCUAACUUCUGUUUGUGCAUAUGAGGGAUAAGUGGAAAAAAUGAAAAAAGAUAAGAGGCAAACAAGAUGCAUAAAAUUUAGCGGUUUCAUCAUUUCAUAAGUUAAUUUAUCGUAUGUCACUCACGCGCAAAAACAGCACAAAAACAGCUGUCACGUUGUAGGAAGAAUACAGCAAGGAACAGAUUGCACGACUUACAGACUUCAGGGACCUAAUUGCAGAAGCCUAAGUGAAAGGAGUUUAAUGCUAUCACGUAAAAGGUUAAAAGGACUAAUGAAUUACUACAACUUAAAAACAGCUAGAGGACAACAUCUCUAUCACUUACCCCGCCAGAGAUGACAUCAAUUCCAGAAGUGCUCCUCUCCUUAUGAUGCUCGGCACGGAGCUGAGAGAUAAGGUCGGCGCUAUCAAGUCCGGCAUUGUCAGCUAUGAUGGUUGGGAUGGCUUGGAGAGCCCGGGAGAAGGCCUCGAUAGCAUGAGAUUUCUUUCCGGGGGUCCUGCGUGCUAGUUCGUCAACCUCCUUUGCCAUCACCAUCUCAGGCCAUCCGCCACCGAGUAAGACCCGGCUGUCGUUCACGGUCUGAGUCAGCACACACAGGGCAUCGUGCAAGGAUCUUUCAGCUUCAUCGAGCACAUGUUGGCUGCAGAUGAUAUCAAAAAAAAAAAAAAAGAAAAAUAAAAUAAGAACGGUUGAACAGAAUCAGCUGAGAAAAAAAACAAAAAGAAAACUCAAACUUCACUAUUAGAUUAUUGUAUAUUUUCCCCUUCCUUUACAUAACGACAUAUUCAAUAGAUGUUUCAUGUGAUCAAGGCUAGCAAAAUAGGAAUUUAUUUGCCUGAAGUUUGCAACGGGCACAACAAUUGAUGCAGUUAAGCAAGGCCAAUAUCUGUGGGUAAGCUUCACGAUUUACCCAAUAGCACAAUAAAGAGGUUAACCAUCUUUCAACACCUCUCCCCUCAGUGCUGCAGCUAAUAGACGGAGCAAACGAGAGAGAGAAAGAGAGGAACAAAUCUAGAGGAAAUCAUGGUAUAUCCAAGAUCUCUUACCCAUAUCCGAAGUUUGUAGUCCACAUAAGUCUACUUACAUAGGUUGGAGUGUUUGGGGUUUGGACUGCUAACAGAUAUUUGAAGAAUAGCCUUCGUAAAAACAAACUUAAACUUCCUACUCCAUAGUUCAGAUGCGAAUGAAGUAGGUAUAAUUGAAUAAAUCGCAACCAGGAUCACAUGAUUAGUCAGUUCGACAGACAUAACAAGUGCAAUCCUAAGAAGAUAAAAAAUAUAACAAGACAAAAUGACGAUGCCAACAAAUAUGCUAGCUCAAUUAUCUUAGAAAUAAUUAAGCACGGAAUUAAAUGACAGUCUAAUGGACAUACCUUGCACCUCUUAAAACAAUGGUACAAGCUUGACCCAUUUCGCACCCAGAGAAAUGAAUCAACCUAUCUUCACCAAUCAUUAUCUCUUCAAUAAGCUUGCAAUGCCCAAGCUUAACAGACUCUGGAUUAUCAAAAGUCGAUGCAAUCUCACCGCCUGUAACGAGCGCCAACCGCUCAAUCCCAUCAAAAUCAGCAUGCUCGAUAGCAAGUAUGCCAGCAUCAGCAAAUAGUUCCUCUGGAAAGUUAUAUAUCAAUUGACGGUUAACGAAACAGUUGAUUCCAUGGGCUAUUAUUUUUUGCACUUUCUCUCUCAUCUUCUGCUUCUCCGCAGCUUCGAUCUCUGCAACCUUAGUCAUCGAAUCAACACGAACGCGGGCCCCAUAGAUCUUUACUUUGUCAGUGUCCAUAGCAGUGUUAGCAACCAAAAUCUUGGCGUUCUCAAUGCGCUUUGGUUGCCCAAUACCUAUUUUCUUGUCAAGAAUAAACCUUCACAAAAAGACAACGGGUAAUGCUAUUAUUGAGCUUUUUUGUGCAAUAUCAAUCUUCCAAUUUGAAUGCAAGUUUGCUUAUGUAAACCUCAUUUAGCUUCAGAACGCCUAGUUAUUUGUUUUUUGGGCAUAGAACAAGCAUGGGGCAACAGACAUAUUGAACUUUGUAUGCUUUUUCAUACUUUACGCAACUAUAGGGAAAAAAAAAAAAAAGUAGAUCCAUUUUCACAUAUAUUAGAUGAAGAAAAAUGGAUUAUCAUAUGGAUAUCAUAUAUAAUAAAUUACACUAACAUCCCCAAUUCGCCGUUAGUGCCUAAGGCUAACUGAUGAUGGUAAUGCAAAGCUACUUGACCACACAUGUUAAUAUAUUUGACUGUGAAAUCAUACCCUUCAUCCAAAAAAGAGUCCUUCAGAGAUCCUCCAGGUUUCUUUAGAAUUUGGAUGGCCUCCAAAUUAGUGCUCCCCUGAUACCAGCAAGAAAAACAUGAAUAGAUAUUAAAAAGAAUAAAUGAAACUUGCUAAAAGGAAAUCAUGGCUGGUGGAUCAAAUUAGCAAUUACCAAUAUCAAAGGAAAGAAGGCACAAAAUUUUAUGUUUAGGUGCAAUUGAUCGCAGAUAAAUCUAUACAGUAUCUAAUUAGUAAAAGUAAAUAACCAUUUUUCACUACAUACAAGUCACAUGUCAAUUUAUAUUCCUACUUAUCUAAUCGAAAGUUGCGGUCUUGUGAGUACAGAACAGACACUUUGUCUAGGAAAAAACAGCAUACAAUAAUGAGCAACUUGAAAAACAAAUGUUAGUUCAAUUAAUGACAGCUCAUAUAUCGUUAAUAACCAAUCCAUGUAAACAUCAGUACAUAUGUAUUUUACAUACACGUACACAAAUUACACAUAUGUACUUACAUACUAGAUAUGAAGUGUAGUACCUUAAGCCUCAAAACAGCAUCAACAGCAAGUUUAGCAAAGUACUCCUUGUCCUGGGAAAGUAUUUUCGAACUCAAAGUUGUCAUAGCAAUGUUCAACAGAUCGGAUUUAAACUUCUCUGAAAUCAAAGUAGGAUAUUCAAAAAGACAUAAAAGAUUUAAGUUAUAGGUUAUAAACUACUAAAAACAGAGGAAAGUCAGCGACUGUAAGCCAAGCUAGUUGUCGCACCACAUAAUCAUAAAAAACUAAUCGAUAUAAUAGGAUAUAAAAGAACAUCAUAUUAUUCAUGCAUCACAAAAUUGUUGAUACCUGGGUCUUGUUUGUUGUCCAUGGCCUUCUCUAACAAAGCAUUGCGUGCACAUUCAGCAGCCAUUCUGUAACCUGUAAGAUUAAUCCAUUGAGCACCCAUAAAUUAUUCAGUAGAAUUACGCUAACUAUCUCACUGAUAAAAGUAAAAACAACUCAACAAUAAGAAGGCAGUAAGGGGCGCCAUAUUUAAUAAUCAGUUCAAAUUAUUUGAAGGCAAAGAUAUAGCCAACUUUCUCGACAAAGGAAAGAGGGUUGAAAGAGAACAAUACAAGAAUAAAACCCAGUUCAUUUAGCAUGCCGUACACAUUCUAAGUAGCAGGAUGAGAUUAAAACAUGAACCUAGUGCAAGUAACCUAGUUACAUAUUUUCAUCUAAUCACUACAAGCUCCUUAUGACUUUCAUUAGGCUAAGCUCUAUUGAUAAUUUUUUACACUGUGUAUCCUUAAAUUUAAAAAUAAAAUAAUAAAAAAAAACAAUCCGAAAUGUUUACUACAGGUCUAUGUACAAGUACAUAAUACUACCAUUGUACCCAUCUUACAACACACACAGCAUCCAAGCUAGACAUUUUAACACUUCACAACAGCUCAAGGAACUGCUACAAAAAUGUUCUUGGAAAGCAUGAGACAAACCUGCAAUAAUAGUCAUAGGAUGAAUCUUUGAGUUGACCAAUUUUUCAGCUUCCCUCAGUAGCUCUCCAGCCAAAACAACAACUGAAGUUGUUCCAUCACCAACUUCAUCAUCUUGAACUUUCGAUAUAUCUGAUACUCAAACUAAGGACUAACCUUUCUCUUUGUAUAACAAUUACAUGAAUAGGACAAUUAGUUUCUUGUGUAUAGCAAAAAAAAAUUAUUUUUAUUUUCUACUAAAACGAAUGAAUCAGUGUGAACAAAGAUUUAAUAAUAAAUAGCUUGCAAAUCGAAGAUUACAUAUUGGAAGAAAAUCAAAGGAUACCAACAAGGACCUUCGCAGCUGGGUUGUCAAUAUGAAGUGCCUUCAAUAUAGUUGCACCAUCAUUAGUAACAGUGACAUUACGCCCUCUGCCAGUUGACUGCAGGAUCUUGUCCUAAACAUCAAGUGUGUGUAUGCAAGUCAUAUUAGCUAAGCCAAUUAAGCAACAGUCAGACGUGGACAUGAGGAAGAGCAAUAAAAACUUGAGAAUCAAGAUAAUACCAUUCCCUUCGGUCCUAAGGUGGUCUUAACUAAAUCAGCAAUUGCCAUUGCACCGAUAAAAGAUGCCUGCACCAGGAAGAAAGUGGCAAAAGCAACUGUAAGUACAAAUUUUGGCUUAGGAAUAACUGGAAAAAGAAAGUAAAAUCUUACAAAAAUCAGGAAUCCAGAAAUUAGCUCAAGAUAAUAUCUUCCAGGAAAUAUAUUUACUGAUUUGGAAAAAAUAGCAUAUCAGGCAUACUAUUUGAGCUUGGGGAAAUUGCAUAGCACACUAAUAUCUUGGUCUUGGAACACAACACAAUCUUGGAAACAACCAGUUCAUGCAAAAGUGAUUGAAUGUUAGAACUAACUCAAAAUACUUCCACUCAGACCCCAUCCUGGUGUGACCUUAACUGAGCAGCGUUUUUUGUUACUUGAGCUCAUUUUCUCGAGGAUGGAUUUUGAAAGAUACUAAAGAAAGACAGUUAAUCCCUUCUGAGAAGCUCAAAUGAAAAUGGACUGUAGACCAGAUAUAAUGUGCAAGCAAUAUCUGUGAUUUUCUUUUAAUUUGUGCUUCACUAGCGCAUUGACUCUCAGAAGUUGUCAGACAAAAAGAAUACUGCAAAUUAGAAUGGUGCCGUGACUGCUGUCUGAGAAUGUUCAGUCUCAUGGAAGAACCAAUGUAACAGCAAUAUCUGUACUAAAACAAUCAUUUGUUUUCCUAUUCCAUCAAAACCAUCAGUUAAAAGGGACUACAGUAUGGCAUAAUCUCGAGUUAAGGGAAACCUAUUAAGAGGUGGAACCGCUAGGCCUAGUAUACAGUAUGAAAGUUAGUAAAUGCUUGGCCAAGUAGUAAUAAGAACAGGAUAAUGAGGAAUGCAUCUGUAUCUCAUGACCAAUGUGAAAUCUUUUUUCCUCCGUACUAUUGCUUCCAGCAUAAAUCCAUCGAUAGACAAGCUUGAGUAGCUAAAGUUCCAAGAUGAUAGGCAUAAGUAAAUGGUGCACCAGGUAUCAAAACUUCUAAAACUUUACAGUCAACAAUGACAAGAUUGAAGGUCAUAGUUAUAAAGAUAAACCUACUCUGAUAUCAUUUACUAAUCCAUCUUACACAGUUCGUUAUUCAUUCUGAAUUAAAACAAAUCUAGCAUCCAUUUUCUCUUCCCAUCGUACUUAAGGGUGUUUUUCUCUUGCGCCAGGUAAAGCUACACUCCCCCAAAGGGUUAUUCACAAGCUAAACAAAGCAAAUACGACUUCCCCUUUCUAUAUAUUUGACAAAAUGUAUACCCAUCUAGCGAAUCAUCCCAAAUUUUUUUUCCACAAAAUAUAGUUCAAAUAUGUUCAUGGAAUAAAAACUAAGUAUUGGAGGGGCAAAAAGAGACUUUUUCAGCAUUCUAAAUAGUAAAGUAAUGAUCUUUUAGCUUCAUCAAUUAAUUCCACUCAAAAAUACCGCCUAAUACUUAAAAAAAAAAAUCGCUUUGAUGUUCUAUAACUAAUAGCAAUUAAUACACGCUAUUAGAAACUACAACUGAAACUGAAACUACUAUAAAGCGAGUUGAAUCGAUACCAUCCGAGCUCGAUCUCCCUUCUCUUCCGUGGCUUCAUCUUUCAACAACCGCUCCACCUACACAGCGAUUCCUCACGGAUCAAACAAAUCGCACACCGAAAUUUACACUAAGUAGAGGAAACGAGAUAGAACGUACCGCCAUUGGAGACAAUCGGAAGAGCUUCGAAACCCUAGGGGGAGUUCGAGAUCUCGAGAGAGGGGGUGGGAUCUAAAACCCUAGAAUUCGAAAGAGGAGAUUUUGGUGAGGGCGAGGAUUCGAAGGGCUCGGAGGAGGCGCUCGAAGCAACACGGACCCACGAGCGAGCCUUCGCGAGGGAACUAUAUAGUGUAAAAUUUACGGAUGGUCCCUAUACUAUGCUUAUAUUGCGGUUUACUUUUUAAGAUUUUACAUUCUAGUCCCUAAUAGACAAAACAAUCUAAUGUUUUCAUAUAGAUGCCAUUUUUAAAUUUAUUUUUUCCAAAGGUUUUAAUGGUUAUAUUUUAAGAAAAGCUUCCACGAAAAAGCUUAAAGACUAUAGUUUUUAAAUUACAAAUAUUUAAAAAAUAAAAAUAGUAUAAAAAUUAUCCAUAUAUUUAACUUUUAAUUUAUUUCAAUUAUGCUAAGUAAGAAUUGUCGUGUCCGGACAUGCUUAUCAGCAUGGGCAGUUCAUGCCUACCGUUUCAGACUAUAUAGACUAGUUUGAUAUAUUUUAAUGUUAAAUCAAACUGACAUAAUAAGAUAAUACAAGUCUGAUUUAAAUUACAGCGAACUUAUCAAUCAGCGAAUAUUGCUUGAUCCAAACCGGCUCCAGUGUUUAAAUAAGUUGAACCAAUACCGCCCGUCUUUUAGCUCACCAUCUAUCAAUUAAACACAUUGCCUCUGAAAUCACUAUACUAAAACAAAAGAAAGAAAUAUUACGGGCUUUUUUCAAAUUUAGCCCCCCUCAAAAAAAUUUAGAAAUUAUCCUAACAAAUUUAUAUUUGCGCAUAUGGCCCUCUUCUUACCACAUAAGCGUUAUGUUUAUAUUUUUAAGUAGAAUACGAUGAAUAAAUCACUGUGUUUAAAUACAGCGAUUGAAUCUCUGUGUUUAUAUCCACACCUUAGUCCCUCCUCUUUAACUUAGUAAUGAAAAAAAUACAAAAAGAAACACGGUGAUUCAAUUAUCAUGUUUAAACACUGUGAUUGAAUCACUUUGUUCAACUUUAAAAUGCUAUUUAGGCGCUUGCGUGGCAAGAAGAGGACUAUUUUAUACAAAUAUAAAUUUAUUAGGGUCAUUUAUAAUUUUUUUGUUUUUGAAGGGGCUAAAUGCAAAAAAAAACCCAAAAAGUAAUGAUGGGAGUGCACAUGUCAUCCUCCUCUGUUCCAAAUUUUGAUUGAAUUAAAGUCGGCGCCGAGUCACUCUCCACGCAUACUCCAUAAGAAGCCAUCGCCGACUUUAGGUUUGUUCCAAUAAACCUACUCUAUUUCUCGCUCUUCCUACUCGUCGUCUUCUUCCCCCAACCCCUCCGUAGUAAAGCGAUCGUGAGAGAGAGAGAAAGAGAGAGAGAGAGAGAGAGAAGGUGCGGAUGAACACGGCGGAUGUGGCGGCGGAGGUGAAGUGCCUCCGCAAGCUCAUCGGGAUGCGGUGCGCCAACGUAUACGACAUCUCCCCUAAGGUAGAACCCAUCACCGAUCCCCCUACACCCAAUCCCCAAAACCACCCUGUAGACCAUGCACUCAUUUCCCCAUUUCGCCCAUAACCAUUUGGGGUCUCCCCCAUUUGCGCACGUAUCUUCCCGUGUUCGAUCCAUAGGACCUGCCGUGUAGAUUCCCCAAUUCGUUUCUUUCGAGUGUUCUACGUUUAAACUAGCUUUUAUGAUGCAAAGUUUCAUAAUUGGACAUUUCUAUUUCCUAUGAUCUCAAUUUUCUGUUGUUAUUGUGUAGAUAGAGUAGAAAAGGGGAGUUUUGGGGGUUAAAGUCGUGUGCUUUGAGUCAUUAGUAGGAAACUUUAAUCAUAUUAGGUAUUUGAUGAUGGUAGGUGUAGGUACUUAAGCUUGAAUUCUAACCCUAGUGCUAGGAGGAACUUUUGGGUUCUUCGCUUAAGCAUUUGCGAAGUGAUCGAUUAUACGGAAGUAUAAGUGCUUGGUUUGUGCACAAAAAAUAAAUGAAAAUUUUGAGACCCCUUCAAUCUUGUUGUAACCUUUUCUAAAUAGCUGCUCCAUGUAAGUUCGUUUGUAUUUCAUGGAAGCAAAUGUUUUUAUUGAUGCUUAUCUUCAGCUUGAAGAAAGAUACACACUUCCCCUUGUAAGCUAGUUUUGCGAAAAUAAGCGGGAGUUUCCUUUCUAGCAGUGUGGAGGAAGAGUAGAUCACUACAAUUAGUAUUAACAUGUUUGUUUUUGACCUACUAUUUCAUCGAAGUAGGCGUCCUGGUUAUGCUACAGCAGCAAAUGAUUUUAUUUUAGUAAGGCUUCGCAUAAUAUUCCUUUCUCGAUGCAAGUCUCCGGCUUCUUCAAUGUUUAUGGGGAUUAACCUCAUAGUCGUUUCUAAUUAUUCUUUAUUUUGUAGACUUAUCUAUUCAAGCUGAUGAAUAGCAGUGGAAUCACCCAAUCAGGGGAGAGUGAAAAGGUAUUUUUGUUGAUGGAAAGCGGAGUCAGGUUGCAUACAACUCAGUAUAUGCGGUAAAACAAUGACCUUGUAUCUGUUUUUUUUUAAAAAAAAAAAUAUGUAAGCUUUGAGUCGUUAUUUACUGGAAUGCUCUGUCUAUUUGCAGAGACAAAAAUACAACUCCUUCCGGCUUUACUCUUAAAUUGCGGAAACAUAUACGGACAAAAAGACUUGAAGACAUCCGGCAACUGGGAUAUGAUCGUGUAAGAAUUAAAUCCUCAUGAAUUUACCUUCUCUUUGCUUAAAAUACAGCAUUCUAUGCCGUUUUGUUUUUUUUGUUUCUUAUAUGAUCUUUAUAUUGCUGCCUUUAUUUUUGUAUUUGCAGAUUAUUCUUUUCCAAUUUGGAUUGGGUAGUAAUGCUCAUUAUAUAAUUCUUGAACUAUAUGCCCAAGGAAAUAUUCUUCUCACGGAUUCUGAGUUUACUGUAAUGACGCUACUCCGCUCUCACAGGUUGUUAUCAAAUCCACAAUCACCAAGUUCAGAGGAGUUUUAUGGGUGAUUUGAUAGUAUGAUUACACUAGAUAUCGUAAUCAUCUUGUAACUUAGGUCCACCUUAAUUUUCUGAAUUUUAUUUUUUUGUGGUUAUUCUGAAUCUUUUAUCUCUAUAGACCAGCAAACCAGGUCUUUAUUCAUUUCAUUUAUCUCUUUAUUCUCUAUAUACUCCAUAGCUUUUUUCUCUUAUUGUCAGUAAGUUGACCUAAAACUCUCACACUUCUUAUCUUGAAAUGGUUUUGAAUGGACAAAAUCAAUGCAUGUAAAAUAACUUUUUUAUCCCUCAAGUUUAUGUUGCAUUGAGAUUUCUCUUUGUGCAUUAUAGAGCAAACUCAACAUUAUGGAAGGGUCUUUGGUUAGUAAUAAAAUUGUAUCUUUUGUUACCUUUCUUUUUCUUUUUCUUUUUUUCCAUGUUUUAACUUCUGUUCUCUGUCAAACUUUGCUAUUUAUUUAUUUAUUUGUUGAUAAUGCAACCACAAUAUUUUUUUGUUAACUACAGAGAUGACGAUAAGGGUUUGGCUAUUAUGUCACGCCAUCGCUAUCCAAUAGAGGCUUGCCGCCUUUUCGAAAGGACUGACUACUCAAAGUUAAAAGCCACCCUAAAUAAGCCAAAUUCAACCAAGCAUGAUGAGUCUUCAGAACUUAUUGAUGAUGGGAACAAUAUUCCAGAUAAAUCCAAAGAGCAAACUAAAUCUAAGAAUAAAAAAGCCAAUGAUGGUGGCCAAUCAAAUAAAGCUACUUUGAAGACCAUUAUUGGAGAGGCUUUGAGCUAUGGACCAGCACUCUCUGAGCAUAUUAUAUUGGACGCUGGCCUGCUUCCAAAUAUAAAACUUGGGAAAGAUCCUGAUAGUAAAAUUGGGGAUGACACGAUACACCUUCUUGCAGAAGCUGUUUCGAGGUUUGAAGAUUGGCUUGAGGACAUCAUAUCCGGUAAGAGGAUUCCCGAAGGAUACAUUGUGAUGCAGAGUAAAACUACUGGAAAGGAUACAAAAAACCCACAAGAAUCGGCUUCAUCUUUGAAGGUUGAUAUAUUACUUCUGUUCAAAGAUUACAUUGUUUGGAUGAUGGUUUAGCAGUACUACGGAAGUCAGCUAGUUGUAUCUUCCAUUUUAAUUUCGUUUCUUUAAUCUUAUGCAAAUUAACUAUGAUAAUUUGCUGUUCUUAACUUUCGCGGGUAUGUCUAUGCAAUAAUACUUCCUUUAGGUUGUUCUUUCUGAAUAUAGUGGGUAGGCCAAGUUUAUUAUGCUGUAUUUGCCGUUCACUUAAUUGCAAUAUCUCCUUUUAAUUGUUUUUACUUUUUCUCGAGGAAACAGUGCUUUUCAAAUAUACGUUCAAUCAACUGAAUUUUGAUAAUGCGUAUUUGGUGCACUGAUUGGGCAUAUGCCAGUAACAUGCAUCUACCAAGUGUUUGACUGAACGUUUUGUUCUCAUUUUAUUCGGUGUCACAUAUGAAUCGUCAUUUAUUUAUCAUGCAAUAUGAGAUUGACCAUUAUGAUGUGAAUUCUUUGGUCUUAUCUUGUUCUGUGGCCUGAUAAGUGAACCUUCAUGUAAAUCAGUUUGGACAAAUUAUGGCAACGUAAUAGAAUAUUUUAUUUGUUUUAAACCAAUACUGAUAUAUUUAUCAGUUUUUGGUCAAGCACUCUUGCCCUAUUACUUUAAGUACACAAUUAGGGUUUUGAUAAGAAAAUUCGGGCUGGAUUUCAUUUUUCCUUCAUUUCUCUCCUCCGUGUCUUUGUGAAUCUGUUGAUUUAUGCUCAAAUAAAGUUGAUCUGCUCCUUUUGAUGAUUUAUCUACUCUGUGAGAAAAAUAAAGCAUAUUCUUUUAUUUCCAUUUGCAGAUAUAUGAUGAAUUCUGUCCUAUACUGCUGAAUCAGUUCAAGUCAAGGGAAUCUGUUAAAUUUGAAACAUUUGAUGCAGCUUUGGACGAGUUCUACAGUAAAAUCGAGAGCCAAAGAGUGGAGCAGCAGCAAAAAGCAAAAGAAGAAACAGCAAUACAAAAGCUUAAUAAGAUACGCUCGGAUCAGGUUCACACUUUCUCUCUUUCUCUCUCUUUCACAAAAUAGCCUCUGUAGCAUUUUAAGUUAUUCUUACGAUGCAGGAAAACCGUGUACAUACAUUGAGGAAAGAAGUGGACCAUUGUACUGAAUUGGCGCAACUGAUCGAGUACAACUUAGAAGAUGUGGAUGCGGCCAUUCUAGCCGUCCGUGUUGCCCUAGCAAAUGGGAUGGCUUGGGUAGAUCUUGAGCGCAUGGUGAAGGAAGAGAGGAAAUCAGGAAAUCCAGUAGCGGGUCUCAUUGAUAAACUCCAUUUGGACAGAAAUUGUAUUACCCUGCUCCUCAGUAACAACCUCGAUGAAAUGGAUGACGAUGAAAAAACUGCCCCUGCUGAAAAGGUUCUUCUUUUAGUGCCUUACUUUGACUGCUACCACUGUUCCUUCAUUUUGUCUUCAUCUGGAAUUUUUUUUAGAUUGAGGCUCUGCAGAUGCACGAAUAUAUUUCAGCAUUUCCCCCUCUGUUAAGGCUUAUUAUUAUUAUUGCAUAUUGCAUGAUGAUUCCUGGUUCCAAAAUGUUACAUUCCUAUUUACAUGCUUUUGUUUUCAUUUACUUCAGGUAGAGGUCGAUUUGGCACUUUCUGCACAUGCAAAUGCACGCCGCUGGUACGAAAUGAAGAAAAAACAGGAAAGUAAGCAAGAAAAGACCAUAACAGCACAUGAGAAGGCUUUUAAAGCAGCUGAGAAGAAGACGCGCCAACAACUUGCUCAGGUAAUCUUGUAGAUUAUGCUUCAAAUUCCACUUUGGACAUAAAGUCAUGUAAGACUUUAAAUUUAACGUGGAUACCCGUAUAUUGCAAAUUAAGUUUAGCCUCCUCUUUAGAUUUGGUGAUAUCUCGAGGGUGUGCCAUCAAGUCAUGUUUUAACUCAAAAUCAUUGGAGUUAGUCGGUCACUUCAAACCAAAUUAAAGACAGUUGGUCAAAUUACAAUUAGGAAAGUUUGGUAAAUUUGUAAUUCAUAAUAGAGCGGAAUUUCAUAUACAGCUUUUAUUAAACUGGGCCACGUAUGUUUUUUGCUUUUUGAAACUGGACCACGUAUGUUUUUUGCAUUAUAAUUUCCCAGUAAUAACGACUGUUUUUGUCUUGCAGGAAAAAACUGUUGCUGCAAUAUCUCAUAUGCGUAAAGUUCACUGGUUCGAGAAAUUCAACUGGUUCAUCAGCAGCGAGAAUUAUUUGGUUAUCAGUGGUCGUGAUGCUCAACAAAAUGAGAUGAUUGUCAAGCGAUACAUGUCCAAAGGAGAUCUGUAAGUAAAUCUUACUAUUUUUUUUAUUUCAGUUCAAAACUUUGUCUUACAUUAGGAAUAAUACUGGGUCAAUUAAUGCAGUUGCCUUCAUUUUAUUGGUCAUUGUAAAUAACAUCAUUCUUCAUCGGUUCGUCUUGCAAUAUGAAACUCCUUAUUCAUUAUGGUUUUAUGCUGUGACUUAUUUUGAGCUUUUUAAAUAGGUAUGUACAUGCAGACCUUCACGGAGCUUCGAGUACUGUGAUCAAGAAUCACAAACCAGAUAGUCCCAUACCGCCCCUGACGUUAAAUCAAGCUGGAUGUUUUACUGUAUGUUAAAUAGUUCAUUUUUCUUACUGUAGUAAUGUUAUAGGUUUCUUAGCUUAUUAGUUGUAUAGCAAAUUUAUUCCAUAUUUAUCUAAAUUCAAUCCUUCGUAUAUACAACUUCAUAAAUAUCACCAACCAUCCCUAGCGCAAGUGGCGAAUCCUUGAUGGUUGGUAGCCAUUGUCCUAAGUGCGCAACCUAGUUGCUUCACAUUUUCAGCUAAGGUUAUUUCUGAAAAAAAAUGUAUGAUAUAGAUAGCAUGCUACCAUUCUCUCAAAAAAAAAAAAAAAAAAAAAAAACUAUGCAAAUAUCUAUUUACAUAUUUUCUCGCGCAAAAAUCUGAAAUUCUUGUGCAUGCCAGUAAAACAUUUUUUUCAAUUUGUGUUUUUACGGAAAUGUCAAACUAAUUAUAAUUGAAAACCAACUUUCUCCAAUGAAUCAGAUGACUCCCUAACCUGAAAUAAGGGCACUUUUGCCAGCAGCUGUAAAUUCGAGUGGUAUAUAUGACAAUUCAGAGUAUACAGAUGCAUAAUAUACGUAGAUAAUUUUAUAGGGAGAUAUUUCAAAAGGCCUAUUCAUUUUCUAUUAACUUAUCUGGUAGACUUCUCAAACACAUCUUUAUCUUUAUCUUCUCUUUUUUCCUCUUUUUUAUUUUUCUUUUUUCAGGUCUGUCACAGCCAAGCAUGGGACUCGAAAAUUGUAACGAGCGCUUGGUGGGUGUACCCAAAUCAAGUGAGCAAAACUGCACCAACCGGCGAGUAUCUCACUGUGGGAAGCUUCAUGAUCCGCGGUAAAAAGAAUUUUCUCCCUCCUCACCCUCUUGUGAUGGGAUUUGGUCUUCUCUUUCGUUUGGAUGAAAGCUCCUUGGCUUCACAUCUAAAUGAAAGGCGUGUAAGAGGUGAAGAUGAAGCCCUUCAAGAAGACCAAGAAGAGCCUCGUAAAGAACAGAACGAUUCUGGUUCAGAUGAAGAAAUUAUUAGUGAAGGAGAGACAAGUAAAGAACCAGAUACAGUUCCAGUAUCUCCUAAUGAUAAUGUUGAAGCAAGCAAUUUGAAAGACCUUCACGAUGAGAAUUCCUCUGAUAAAGAUAUUACUUCCCAACUUGAGGUUCUUAUGGAUAAGGCUUUGGGCCUUGGCCCUGCUAAAUUAUCUAAUAAUACCUCUGGUUUGGAUGAUAAUAAAUCGACAUUGGAAGCGGCGGAUGAUGUUGAAGAGAAAAAGGCUGCUGUGAGAGAGAAGCCUCAUGUAUCGAAGGCAGAGAGGCGAAAACUUAAGAAAGGACAGAAUAAAAAUGAAAUCGCGAGUGAGUUACAUGAAAACGAAGCAGGAAAUAAACCCGUUCUUUCAGGUUCUCAACAAGAUAAAGUUAAGGAGAACUUAAAGACUGCUAGUAUGAAAAUUAGUCGUGGGCAAAAGGGCAAACUUAAGAAGAUUAAGGAGAAAUAUGCGGAGCAGGAUGAAGAAGAAAGGGAAAUUCGUAUGGCUUUACUAGCGGUAAAUGCAAUGAUUUUUGGAUUUGUUUAUUAGUUCUUAAGGACUCUGCCAUUUGUCUGCCUUGUUAUUUUUCCCUACUUCCAUUAUUAAUCAUCUUUUCAUUAUUUCAGUCUGCUGGAAAAGCUCUGAAAAAGGAUAAAGAUUCACAUGAUCAGGAUGGUGUUGCUGAAAAGCCAACAAAAGCAGUAUCCGGUACUUUUCUAAAAGUUAUCUCUGGUUUCGAAUUCAUUUUUCCUAAAUCAUAAUUAAAAAAAAGAAAGAAAUUGUCCGUAGGAGUUUUUCUUUUGACGUGCAGCUAGAAAUUUUUGGCAUUGCAUUAGAUUCUUAUUAUCUGGGGAGUGUCAAAAUAAUUUUUACCGGCAUUUUAUUUAAGGUCUGCUAUUUUUUCUAUGAAAUGAUUUUUGCAUUAACUUGUUUUCUUUAGUCACAAAUCUUAUUACAAUUAAAAUAUUUCCCUGAUUAUUUGGGUCAUUUAUGCUUUUAGUAGAUGCCUGAAGAAUGAUCAAUUUUGUUAUAGCACAGCAGAAUCACGAAAUUAUAUUUUUAUAUCUAUUCAUUCAUUUCUUUAUCCAUCCUUGCCGGAGUGACAAUAUUUGCUCUUAAUGAGCGUGUCUCCAUAUAUUUUAAUGGAGGAGUAACAGUUCUUGCCUGGAUUUGUUGGGAAUAAUCUGGUCAAACGUAUUUCCUUUUCUUCCUAUUUGCAGGCCAAGAUGAUUCGUUGAAAGUAUGUUACAAAUGUAAAAAAUCCGGCCACCUUUCUCGCGAUUGUCGAGAAAAUUCUUCCGAAGCAGAUCAGCCCCACGGCUUAAAUGCAAAUGGUGCCAACUCUGAGGAUCUUACUUCAGAAGCAAACAAAUCUAAUUCUGAGAUGGCUAAGAUAGCUAUCGAUGAAGAUGGAAUCCAUGAAAUUGGCGAAGAAGAGAAAAUGAAAUUAAAUGAUUUAGAUUACUUGACAGGAAAUCCUCUACCAAGUGAUAUUUUGCUGUACGCUGUUCCGGUUUGCGGUCCUUAUAAUGCGUUGCAAACAUACAAAUACCGUGUCAAGAUAACUCCAGGCACUGCAAAGAAAGGGAAAGGUAUCUUCUUCUCUAAGUUGAAUAUUGAAAUCUCUCUGAAUUGUGUUAUAAAUUUUAAUGCAAACUUUUCCCUACAUAUCUUCCUCUCCGACGGAGGUGAGGAACUUGGGUUAGGAUCUCAUUGUGUCCUUAAAACAUUCCCAACUUUUGGUGAUUUGACAUCUAUGUAUCGUCCUUUCAGCUGCAAAAACUGCGAUGAAUCUAUUCAGUCACAUGCCCGAAGUGACGAACCGAGAAAAGGAACUAAUGAAAGCAUGCACCGACCCGGAAUUGGUGGCCGCAAUUAUCGGCAACGUUAAGAUCACCGCGCCAGGUCUCACUCAACUAAAGCAGAAACAAAAGAAGGGGAAGAAGUCGUCAAAGGAAAACUAGAAGAUACUUCAGCAGGCUGCAAAGCUUCAAAAGAUUACUCGUCAGAAUAUUUGGCUCGUGUCUGGGAAUUUUCUUCAUAGACAGACGGAAGAAAAGGCUAAAUGGUUUUCCGUGGCAAGAUCGAAUAGAUGUGAACUAAAAGAAGAUUGAAUUUUGAGCUGUUAAUAGAUCAGAUUUGUAUCUUAGAGGGUUUUUUUUUUUUUUUUUUCCUUCUGUUUUCAUCUUUGAAACUUCAAUGUUGCAAUGUAAUAUACAAAUCUGAGAUUCAGUUCUUUGCAACUUACCUGCAAUGUAACAUAACCUAUCAUGCUCAAACUGUGACAACUACUGAUACUUUGUUCGCACACUGUUCGAUAAUGAUAUUAAAAUGUUGUGGAAGAGUUCUUCAUCGAUGUAUGUAAUCAUAAUUUAUCGGUCAUUUCUCCUGGUCUCUUUUUUCUUUUUAAUCGAAAUGAAAACAGCAUCAGCAAAGGGCUAAUGCUUUGUCCGAUCGCGAAACUGUUCGAGUAGUUUUUCGUUGAUGCUUUACUCUAUUGUAAUCAUCUUUGUUGUGAAUUAUACUCAUUUUCACUUGAAAUUGUUAGCAUUUAAACAUUAUAUGAAUAUAAGAUUAUUCAACCAUGGCUACAUAAAUUUUGUUCAUUGUUAUUAUUUAGUGUGCAUUAUUGAACAAUGCUGAGCAACCCCACAGAGCUUGUAGAGUUUUACUCCACAAUUUAUCCCAUUUGUUUUUUUUUCCUUUUUAAAUUUUGUGGGUUAUUUGAUCCGCGGCCAUCCAAACUUUCGCUUGAAUUUUGAAAUUUUAUAUGUCAAACCAAAAUUUUUAAAAUUUUACAUUCGGCUGUGUAGAUUUAUAUUUUAAGAAUUUAAAGUAAAUAAUGGAGAAAUAAUAAAAAGAAUAUGUCCGCAAAAUAGAAUGAUUUUUUCGACAUCAAAUUGAAUCCAACAGAAAUUGACUUUUAAUAUUUUGACUUUUUAUAAAUUAAAUAUAAUAAUCACGGUGAAUUUUAUUCAUUACGCUAGUAUAUAAUUUAUAUUAUUUUUGACCAAUUAGAUAAUAUUAAUCAUUUAAAAUUAAUGAAAUAUGAAUCUAAAUGGUUGAUUAUAAAAUUUUUAAAGUUUGGAAGGUAAAUCUAAAAUUUUGAAAAUUUAGAGCAAAAGUUCGAAUUGUUCAGACAAAUUUAAUGCCCUCUAUUUUAAAUUUUUUAAAAUUUUUUUAUUUUGUAGCUAUUGCAUCAUAUUUUAUGUCGUUCUCUUGUUACUACACUCCUCCAAUAACUUCCCAAUAACACCCCCAAUGAAACUUAAUUACCACACCCGUAUAGUUUGGGGGAGUUAUUCGGAGCCCCACAAUUUCCCCCAUUCCGUACACAUUGGGGUAGUUGUUGGGUUAGUUCUCAUAUCUCCGUGGACUCGUCCCCUCUCUCGCCCCAUUUCUCCCCAAAAACCCUAGAAAUCCUCCAAAACCAAAACAAAAACCUUGAUUUCCGUCAAAUUUUUCUCCGAUCAAAUAAAAGGAUGCGUCUUUUGCUCGAAAUCCUAGUCUCCGCCCUUUCGAACGGUGCAAUUUGAUACCGAUUUUGUGGGAAUUGGACCAAUUUCUCUACUUUUUUUUUUUUCCUAAUUUUUACCCGAGCUUGGAACCCUAGAUUUUCGUCAGAUUUUUCUCCCUUCGCAUCAAAUAAUGCAUGUCUUAGUCGAAACCCUAAUCUUCUCUGUUUCGAACUGUUCAAUUUGAUCCUGAUUUUGCAAAUUUGGGCCAAUUUCUCUACUUUCCAUUCCCAAUUUUUACCAUAUUUUUACCAGAGCGAGAAACCUAGAUUUUGCGUCAGAUUUUCUCCGUUCGCAUCGAAGGCCAAAACUCUUGUAAAAAAAACAAAACCCUAAUCUCCGCCUUUCGACCGGUGCAAUCUCUUCCCAGUUUCGCCAAAUUUAGGCCAAAUUCUCCACCUUUUUCCUCUUUUUUUUUUUUUUUUUUUUUUUUUUUNUGUACUCAUUUUCACUUAAAAUUGUUAGCAUUUAAACAUUAUAUGAAUAUAAGAUUAUUCAACCAUGGCUACAUAAAUUUUGUUCAUUGUUAUUAUUUAGUGUGCAUUAUUGAACAUGCUGAGCAACCCCAUAGAGCUUGUAGAGUUUUACUCCACAAUUUAUCCCAUUUGUUUUUUUUUUUUCCUUUUUAAAUUUUUGUGGGUUAUUUGAUCCGCGGCCAUCCGAACUUUCGCUUGAAUUUUGAAAUUUUAUAUGUCAAACCAAAAUUUUUAAAAUUUUACAUUCGGCUGUGUAGAUUUAUAUUUUAAGAAUUUAAAGUGACUAAUAUAAGCCAAAUAAUGAAGAAAUAAUAAAAAGAAUAUGUCCGCAAUAUAGAAUAAUUUUUUUGACAUCAAAUUGAAUCCAAUAAACAUUGACCUUUAGUAUUUGACUUUUUAUAAAUCAAAUAUAAUAAGUACGGUCAAUUUUAUCCGUUACGCUGGUAUAUAAUUUAUAUUAUUUUUACCAAUUAGAUAAUAUUAAUUAUUUAAAAUUGAUGAAAUAUGAAUCAAAAUGGUUAAUUAUAAAAUUUUUAAAUUUGGGAAGGUAAAUCUAAAAUUUUGAAAAUUUAGAGCAAAAGUUGGAAUUGAUAGGAUAAUAUUUAAUGCUUUCUAUUUAAAAUUUUUAAAAUUUUUAAUUUUGUAGCUAUUGCAUCAUAUUUUAUGUCGUUCUCUUGUUACUACACUUCUCCAAUAACUUCCCAAUAACACCCCCAAUGAAACUUAAUUACCACACCCGUAUAGUUUGGGGGAGUUAUUCGGAGCCCCACAAUUUCCCCCAUUCCGUACACAUUGGGGUAGUUGUUGGGUUAGUUCUCAUCUCUCCGUGGACUCGUCCCCUCUCUCGCCCCAUUUCUCCCCAAAAACCCUAGAAAUCCUCCAAAACCAAAACAAAAACCUUGAUUUCCGUCAAAUUUUUCUCCGAUCAAAUAAAAGAAUGCGUCUUUUGCUCGAAAUCCUAGUCUCCGCCCUUUCGAACGGUGCAAUUUGAUACCGAUUUUGUGGGAAUUGGACCAAUUUCUCCACUUUUUUUUUUUUCCUAAUUUUUACCCGAGCUUGGAACCCUAGAUUUUCGUCAGAUUUUUCUCCCUUCGCAUCAAAAUAAUGCAUCUCUUAGUCGAAACCUUAAUCUUCUCCGUUUCGAACGGUUCAAUUUGAUCCUGAUUUUGCAAAUUUGGGCCAAUUUCUCUACUUUCCAUUCCCAAUUUUUACCAUAUUUUUACCAGAGCGAGAAACCUAGAUUUUGCGUCAGAUUUUCUCCGUUCGCAUCGAAGACCGAAUCUCUUGUAAAAAGAACAAAACCCUAAUCUCCGCCUUUCGACCGGUGCAAUCUCUUCCCAGUUUCGCCAAAUUUAGGCCAAAUUCUCCACCUUUUUCCUCUUUUUUUUUUUUUUUUUUUUUUUUUUUUUUUUUUUUUUUAUUUNNNNNNNNNNNNNNNNNNNNNUCUCUCUCUCUCUCUCUCUCUCUCUCUCUCCUUCGUUCCCUCUCGCUUCUCCUUCCUUGUCUCCCUCAAAUCUCUCCACUUCGCCACGCUCUCGUUUCCGAUGGAAUCAGAAUCGCCCACUUCGGAUCGAAAAGGUAAAAAUUUUGUUUGAAUUAGAAAUUUCUAAAACCUAAAAAGAAGAAUCAUAAGCGAUUGCUUUUUGUUUUUUUUUUUUUUUUUUUUUUUUGCCCUAGCGGAGUUCGAUGGUGGUGAUCGAGCCCAAUCCCGAUGCCGAGGAUCGCCGGAGACGGCGUACGAAUCUCAGAGCGCCGGGCGCUCCUCCUGAGGCCGCUGCGGCUCCGCCGCCCCGGGGCGUCGCCGGCGCCGGAGACGAUGGAGGCGACUCCGACUCCGACGAAUCCCCGGAGAGUGCUCGUAACAACAUGCGCAUAAAAGAGGUCCUUUUUUGUCCCUUUAUUUUUACACUCCUCAAAUUUCUUUUUUUUCCUCGCAAUUUGCAUUGUUUAGUUUUAGUGAUUUAUUAUGUCUAUUUGAUGCAUCUUAUUUAUGACACAUCCUAAAUUUUUACGGAAAUUUUUUUUUUUUUGUUGCUAUACUUUUUGUUCAUUUUGUAUGUAGCAAAGAUGAUCGAAGUAUACACUGAUCCCCUCAACUAUAGGCCAAUUAAAAAAUGAAUCUCCCUCAUCUUUUGAUUCUUCAUAUUUAAGUUAUUUUCAUCACUAGAUUUUCUUAAGCUUAAGCUUUUACGAAUGCUUUUUCCGUUGACGGAACCACGGAUUUCGGUAACUAUUAAUAGUUCAUAGCUUAGAAGCAGUAGUAGAAUGAGGAAUUUAGUUUCGUGGCGAGACGUUGCGUUAUCUUUUCGUUUCCUCGCAUUUUGUUGUAUGAAAUUUCCGAGACAUGUCCUGCAGAGCUCUUCGGGAGUAGAGCCAGCGGAAGACCGAAGCGCCAACUCGAGCGAAGAAUGUUCUGCUGGAAAGGAAAACGGAAUGGCGGCGGUCGCGCACGAGGAACCCACGACUAGUGCGGCAGACGAUGCGCUGGUUCCGAAAGUGGGGAUGAGAUUCAAGAGCAUCGAAGAAGCUUUUCUGUUCUACACGGCGUACGGGUAUCGAACCGGCUUCGGCGUCACGAGACGAACGAGCCACAGCAUGCACGGAAAGAAGUACCGUCAAACAUUUACUUGCUGUAAAGAAGGGAAUCCGAGAGUGAAAAAGGCGGUCGUCAAGUGCAGGAGAAGACCCAUAGUUAAAUGCGGAUGCCGAGCCAUGAUGGUUAUAAAAGACCCCGCUUUAAAGGAUUCGUGGGUUAUCGAUUAUGUUAUACUGAAGCACAAUCACCCACUCGAUCCCGAUCGGGUUCGGUUCAUGAAAUGCUUCCGAGAACUGCCGAUCACGAUUAAGAGGCAGCUUCACGUGAACGAAUUCCAGGGCACGCUUCCCACCAUGCCCAUCAACGCGGUCAUUUCUCAGGCGGCCGAAAACAUGAGUUCCUCGUCCAACCAGAAGGGUUCCAGAAACCUUGCGGAUCAGAUGAGGAGACUUAGACUUGGAGAGGGAGAUGCCGAGGCUCUUACGAAGUUCUUUGACGCCAUGCAACUGCGAAACCCGAGCUUUUUUUACAGUUGCGAUAUGGAUGCGAAUGGCCUUCUUGCGAACGUCUUUUGGGCUGAUGCGAGAUCGCGAGCUGCGUAUCGGCACUUCAACGACGUUGUUACUUUCGAUACGACCUACUCAUCGAGCAAAUACCAUAUCCCUUUGGUUCUCUUUCUGGGAGUAAAUCACCAUGGCCAAUCUAUCUUGCUAGGUUGCGGUCUUCUCGCCAGCGAGAGUAAAGAAUCCUAUGUCUGGAUCUUUAAAAGGUGGCUAAGGUGCAUGAACGACAAGUCUCCGAACGCUAUAAUUACUAAUCAAGACGAAGCAAUUCGUGGGGCGGUUCAGGAAGUGCUUCCUAGUGCUCGACAUCGUUUUUGCCUCUGGCAUGUCAUGAGGAAGCUACCUGAAAAGCUGGGGAAAGCGCAAGCGAAGGAGGAAAUAGUCAGUAAAUUAAGUAAAGCUGUCCAUGAUUCCAUAACCAUAAAUGAAUUCGAGAUGGAAUGGGAGGAAACAGUUGUUAAAUACCAACUCCAUGAUAAUGAGUAUCUAUCGUCCUUGUAUGAAGAUCGGAAGCAGUGGGUUCCCGUUUACGUGAGAAGCGCUUUCUGGGCGUCCAUGUCUUCCACCCAUGAUAACGAAAGCGGAAAUGCUUUCUUUGAUGGUUUCGUGACCUCUAAGACCUCGCUAAAGAAGUUUCUAGAGCAAUAUGAUAGCGUUCUGAAAGAUAAGUGGGACAAAGAGGUUCAAGAGGAUUUCCACUCAUCACACACUUCGCCCCAGCUAAUAUCCGGAUUUGAAUUUGAGAAACAAAUUGCAAAAUUGUAUACUGCGAACAUGUUUCAGAAGUUCCAAGAUGAGGUCAGGCACUUAAUCCAAUGUGUGUGCACACGAGUCGAGAGGAACGGCCCUAUAGUAACGUACAUGGUCACCGAACUUAUUGAGAGCCGGCAACUUGACUACAAGGUCACCUACAAUUCAGCCGAGCACGAGGUGUGGUGUAUUUGUUGCUCUUUCGAAUAUAGUGGUAUAUUGUGUAGGCAUGCAUUGUGCGUGCUUCGGCAAGAAUUCGUCGUGAUAUUACCUUCGAAGUAUGUAUUAGCCCGUUGGAGAAAGGAUUUCAAGAUAUUGCAAGCUUUCAACUCUACUCCACAAAUGGCGUUAACGGGCGAAACGGGGAACUACGAUGAACUUGUCGCGCGUGGCCAACAAUACCUUUUGGAUAUCGCGGAUUUUGCGGCAUUUAAUCAUGAUAUGAAAGUGUACGCGCUCAACGCUUUGAGGGAGGCGAGGGACAAAGUAGUGAAGCAAGAGGUCUCGCUCGGCGAUAGGACCGUCGAUGACGAUAGCCUUCACAAUACUCUUCUCGCGAGCAAUAUUUGUAUUCCCCCGAACAUGGACGUACAAAGCGAUGGGCUUUUCUUGGCUUCUGCGACCAAGGUCUUCGACUCUCCCCGCGCCCACCCUAAGGUUCCUCAUAAGAAGAGGCCUGUUAGCCAGAGGGAAAGAGCUUCUGAGGAAUUAAAGAAACAGAGAAGGGAAAACGACUCGAUUAUCGCCAGUAAAAAUGUCGGCCUGCAUGUAAGUUUUGUUUGCAAGAACAUUCUUGUUUUGUGAAUUUAGUUCGAUGUAACUCGUACUUACAAAUGGGUCUUUUAUUAGGUUCUCGAGAAUCAGUCUAAUGCGGCAGUUCCAAUGACCCAAUUUACGACACAAGAAAACUUUUCGGUCCAGGUAUGUUGAACACGCCAAGGUCAUUUCCAAUCUCCGGUUUAUUACACUAAAAACUCUUCCACCGGUUCUCUCUAGGUGGGGUCGGAUCCUUCGCCUUGGUUAUACAACCCCUCUUAUUUCUAUUGGCACGGGGCUGGUAUUCAAGACCCGACGAGAAGAACAUGAUGAUGUGCCGUUUAAUUUCGUCUUUCGGCGAGUAUUCGAUUCGUUAUAGCACCCUAAAGGUAGUUUCUCUGACCUAACGAUGCCGUCGGUGUUUAAACAUUAUGAUCCACUUUUCCACUUUGAGUUCGUGUAUCAUCAUCGUAUCUCGUCUCUAUACGGCCUCCGAAUAAUUCAUCUGAGAACUUGUUUAAGAAUCUUCUUUCCGGACCAUUGAAAUUUGUUGGACAAAAUAUUGGUUUUAGAUUGGUAGUAUUUAGCGAAGAUCGAAAUCGAGCAUAUAAACAUCUGGGAAGAUCCUGCUGCAUUGAUGUCUCGAAGUUUCGUUAUCAGCAGUACGAAUAGAUCGAAGUUUCGCAUUUUGUUAUGUAAUGCGUCGGUAGAGUAUAUUAAUACAUGUUCUUAUGUUGCAGGAGAACUGAGCCUCAAUGGCACUAAAUCUAUCGAAGAUCCGAACCCAAACUCGCGCACUUUUCUCGCAAACAUGAGCUCACUUAGAAGUGGAGUUACCUGAUUCAGAAAUGGGAGGAUAAUAUGUAUCAAUGCAAUAUGUAAAUUAUGUAGUUUUAGGAAACUCUUUUUUGUUUUGCUGUUUCUUUUCUUUUCUUUUCUUUUCUUUUUUUUAUUCCUUUGUGUUGGAGUAUUAAGUAGUGGUUGUUGAUCCUUGUUUAGUUGAAUAAUUCAAGCUUAUGGUUGAAAAAAAAAAAAGAAGAAAUUUCUCUUUUUUUUUUUUGGGCAUUGGGGCAUCAUGCAAAAUUCGUGAGAAAAAUGCAAUGGAUGAUUUGAGUAAAUUUCAUUUUGAUUCUAUGCUAAUUGUUAUUUGAUUCUAUGUAAAUUUCCUGUAAGUGAUUUUCAAGUUAAAAAUAAUUUUUAUUUUAAUUCACUGCACCACCACCAACAGCGAAGUUAAUUAUGGCAAAAGUAGAAAUUUUCGUCUGAAAAUAACUUCACCCUUAUAAAGAUGUUUGGGUUUGGAUCGGAUUUUUAAAAAUCCGAACCCGAACCCGAAAAUUAAAUUAUUUUUGUCAACUUCGCAUACCACAAUAAAUCAGUUAUACUAUAUUUUCUACAGUCUCAUAAAAAAAUACAUAAAUUUUUUUAGAUUCCCCAGUAGGCCUUAUAUUGUGAAUUCAAUCAAAAUUUAAAGUGCUCAUCGACACAGACCAUAUCUACUGUACCGUAUCGUGUCAGUAAAAUAUCGACAUGAUACAGUUAUCGAUGAUACAGCUCAAAAUUUUUUUUUCUUUAAAUUAUUUUAUAAUUUCUCAAAAAAAUUCAAAAAACUUUGAUAAAAAUACAUAAUAAGCAAAUAAAAUAUUUUAUUUUUAAAAUAUUAAAUAUUUUAUAUUAUUAUAUGUUUAUAUAAAUAUAUAUUUUUAUGACGCAUUGGCCUACAAUUCUAUUUGAGGAAACUUAAAUCCUUUUAGAACCCACCCUUUUUUUCUCUAUUAAUUAAUUAAUUAAUUAAUUAAAUCAUAUAUAUUAUAAUAAGGCCGCAUAUUCUAAAGCAUAGGGAUAUCCCUAUCCCCUUCCUCAACCCUCUCUCUCUCUCUCUCUCUCUCUCUUCUCAAUCGAGCUUCGCCAUUAGCCGAGUCUUAAGCUCACUCUCUCCACCUAAUCCAAGUGUAUGCUCUCUCUUCUCCCCUUUUUCUCAAAAAACUUUGGAUCAAAUUGGAUACUUGAUCGAUCUACACAGCUGUAGCUUAACACUGCUUCAAUUUUUUUUUCUUUUGGGUUUUUUUUUUUAUGGUUUAAAUGAUCAAGAUUAGUGGUAAAUUUAUGGGCUUUCUCUGUUAGAUCAUCUUACUAAAUUGAAUCUAUAUGGAGAUAGUUUGAGUCUAUGAUUUUUGAGUUUUGGAGUACUUGAUUUCUCUACCUAGGUUAAGAUUAAGUAGGUAUGUGAGCACAUUAUCCACCAUUUGUUUUUCGGAAAAGUUCGAAAAAUCGCCCUUGCUGUAUAACGCAUUUGCAGUUUAGUGCCCUGUUGUUUCGAAGUACUUUAUAGAUUCUAUUGUAGUUUCUGUAAUCAACGCGCGAUUUUAUAUACUAUGGGUGGUGAAAAGGAGCAUUUUUUCGCUCUUUGGUUUUAUAAGAUGUAGAACUUCGGAUAAGGGCGUGUUUGGUUCCUCAGGAAAUCAUGGAAAACUGUUUUUCGGGGGGAAAAAAAAGAAGUUUUGACAUAGUUUUUGCUUCCUGAAUAAAAAAUCCGGAAAAUGAAAGCACUACAUUUCCGUAAAAUAUGGAAAAGAGUUGCCCAAAAAAAACUACUUUUUUUAGGAACUAAAUGGACAGGAAAUACUUUUCGAGCCAGAAAACUAGCUUCUAGAAUAUUUUUCGAAAAAUCAAACACCCCAUAAGUGCUUCAUUUUGAAUCGCAGGGUAGUAAACCUCAAAUUUAGGGAGUGUUUUCUAAUGGAUGAGAUGUGGCGUUAGCUAGAGCAGUUCAUUUGAGUGCCUAAUUUCUGACUCCUCUAGGAACCAUUUUCCUCUUUAUUAUGUGUUUUAUGUUUUCGAUGUUGAUUGGAAGAGAAACUCGAUCAGAUUACCUCAACAUUUCAAUUUAGAAAUUGUAUAGGAGACACCCCUUUGUCGACACAGAAUCACUUGAAAUCCAGAGAUUCACAGUAAAACUGAGAAUGAUGGAAAUACUUGCAUUUUUGUGUGGCGUUUGCGAGUCUAAUUGAUUCACAUGAAGGAUAUUGAUUCUAAGAUGAUCGCAUUAUAUUGUGCUUGGAAUGUAAGCUACGUUUACGAGUUGAGGUAUCAGGAAAAGAUGAGGGCCAUCAUGGCGAGAGUCAUUGGAAGCACAUGCCUCAUAUUUUAUCUCUCCCUUCCUGCUACUAACUCUGCGGAACUGACUUGCUUUGAAUUAGUUUUGAGUCAGGCACAUCCGGUUGUGUUAGGAAAUCAAGCUAUCUUGAGUCAUGACAUAAACUUUGCUUGAAUGGAAUUAGGGAUGAAAGUUGGCAUCAUGUUAGACUGUCUUAGCAGUUAGAGUGAACUUCCUUACAUGGGUAUGGAAAAAAUGUACAGAACUUAGCUAAACUAUGGACAAUUUUAAAUCGACUACCCGACCUUUCAAAAUUUUUAUUUUACUACUCAACCUUUGAAUUUGUUGAUUUGAUGAAUUUAUAGUUGUAAGAAUUGUAUGUAGUAUACUAACUAAAUCUGUAAAUAUAAACGACGCAUUCACUAUUUGAAGUCAAGGUGUUGUUAACUGACACAAAUGAAACAAAUUGAAAGGUUGGAUAUUAAAAUCAAAUUUUUGAAAGGUCGGAUAAUCGAUUCAAAAUGGUCCGUAGUUUAGGGAGGUUCUGUACAUUUUUACCUAUAGAUACUAUGUUUCUGUCCAUUUCCUUUUAUCUAAAAAUAGCAUGAAUUUGAGAUCUCGCGCAGAGAUUCCUGCUUGUUAAUUUAGUUCAGUUAUAUGCUCCACUGUCAAUAUAUUUUUAAAUUACUAAUUAGACCUUAACGAAGUCCUCAGUUUCUUGUUCAUUGCCAUAGAUACUGUCUAGACCCCAGAUCCAAUCAUCCGAUUAAUCCUUUUUAGUAUUUACAUCAUUAUAAACAGCAAAAUCAGUGUCGCAUGGGAGAUGAUGAAUGAGAGUCGAAUGGUUUCAACUUUCAAUUAUAUCAUAAAUAUAAAUGUGCUUGUCCUCUUUCACAAUUAUAGUAUUUAUAUAUUUAGGUGUCUAUCGACUAACGAAAAAACAGCUAGGGCAGUUAGAAUUUGGAAAUUUCACAAUGGAAAAUUGAUACCUGUAGCUUAUGAAUUUUCUUUUCAUAUAGCUCCGUAUAUUGUUUCUAGUUAAUAUUUCAUGCAUCCUUAUGAACUUUGCUUGUUGUGAAGGUAUGUGAUAUCAUGCAAUGUGAAAACUUUUUCCUUUUUUUUUUUUUUUUCCCCUUUUAAUUAUGAACUUGUAUAUUCUGGUUUUGUAGGUCUAAAUCUACUAAGCAGUAGUAAAAAAACGAAAACAGGAUUACAAAUGGCUCAUUUGCUCUCUACCAGCUGUAUUCACAAUCCAUCUCCAACCACUACUAAACUCAACUUCAAGUCGCUAAACCGAUGUCCGCUCACCCAAACCUCUCUCCCAGUCCGAACCUUAAGAUCGUCUCUCAUGGCCCUCAGAUCAUAUCAGAAAAAACCACUAAAACAUUCCAUUACUUAUGCUACCGCCACCAUAGGCCAAAACAUUGGAAACAAAACCGAUUCUGGAAACGAAGACAACGUUCCAGCGGACUCAUCUUCGAAACCCAAAAAGGUAAUGGUCAUCGGUGGGGACGGCUAUUGCGGGUGGGCCACCGCCCUCCACCUCUCCAACAAAGGCUAUGAAGUCGCCAUUGUCGAUAAUCUUAUCCGCCGCCUCUUCGACCACCAGCUCAGCCUCGACUCCCUCACCCCAAUCUCCUCCAUCCAGAACCGAAUCCGCCGGUGGAAGUCUCUCACUGGCAAAUCAAUUGAUCUCUACAUCGGCGACAUAUGCGAUUUUGAGUUCCUUUCCGAGUCCUUUAAGUCUUUCGAGCCCGGCGCAGUUGUCCACUUCGGCGAGCAAAGGUCUGCGCCUUACUCCAUGAUUGAUCGGUCGAGAGCCGUCUUCACUCAACACAACAACGUAAUCGGAACCCUGAAUGUUUUAUUCGCCAUUAAAGAAUUCAGAGAAGAGUGCCACCUGGUUAAGCUUGGCACGAUGGGAGAGUAUGGCACUCCGAAUAUAGAUAUCGAGGAAGGAUAUAUUACUAUAACUCAUAACGGGAGAACGGAUACAUUGCCAUAUCCGAAGCAAGCGAGCUCCUUUUACCAUUUGAGCAAAGUGCAUGACUCUCAUAAUAUAGCGUUUACGUGCAAGGCGUGGGGGAUAAGAGCCACGGAUUUGAACCAAGGAGUGGUUUAUGGAGUUCGUACCGAUGAAACCGAGAUGCACGAAGAGCUCUCCAAUAGGUUCGAUUAUGACGGCGUCUUCGGGACGGCAUUGAAUAGGUUUUGUGUUCAGGCGGCUGUUGGACACCCGCUUACAGUAUACGGCAAGGGUGGUCAGGUAUGAUGUACCAACCAUAAUUCUCCUUUAGCGCAAUUUUGAACCCACUUCUCCUCUUUUUAACUUUGAAAUUUAAUUUAAUUUAAAAUUUGGAGUUUGAAAUUUAAUUUUGGGAUUUUAAAUUCGGUUAGUUGGGUUGAAGUCGGACUUUGGCUCCCUCCUAGGCCUGAAAUCUCCAAGCGAUUUGAUUUCACCCAAAAUCUCCUAAAUUUUUCCAAUUUUCCUCUGCAGUCAAACUGCUUUUCUUAAAAUCUGUAUCAAACAGAUUUGAAAUUGGGUUUGAAACUUGCACCAUUGGAUUCCUCUUCGAUAAUACCUUCCUGUGAAAUUACUUUUGUGCGCAAUAAUCCUUCGUUGCUCUCCUCAAAUAACUUGGUUGCAUAUAUCAAACAUAAUUCCACUUCAUGAUGACAACAUAACUUGUUCACCGCAAUCAGUUCCUCAUUUUUCGGGGGGCAUGCUUACAUUGUUCCUUUGGAUUUCGUAGAUUCUGGUAAAUGUGAUUUGAGCCUUUUUUGUUUAAGUCGUUUUAUUUUAUUUUUUGAAAGUGAUAACAGGCCAGGUAGACCUGCUUACCAGAAUAAUGUACUACUACAUGAAAUUUUAUACAUCUCCAAAGUUUACAUACAUAGUUCACUGAUAAUUCGUUUCGAAGUCAAAAAAUAGUUUUUGAUGAUUUAGCUGAAGCUAAAAUUUAGAUAGAGAAGUAGCUAAGGAAGAUCUUCAAUAGAGAUUUGAUUCCGACUGCAACUGAUCUUGGGUUUUUAGAGUCAUUUUUAUUGAUUUUGUAAUUUAAGUAUGUUCUCUACUCUUAGUAAAUCUUCUUUUUCGUAAACUUCACGCAGACGCGAGGAUAUUUAGAUAUCAGAGACACAGUUCAGUGCGUCGAGCUCGCGAUCGCCAACCCAGCCAAACCAGGCGAGUUCAGGGUCUUCAACCAGUUCACCGAGCAAUUCUCCGUCAACGAGCUCGCACAACUCGUCACGAGAGCCGGAACGAAGCUCGGGCUCGACGUUCGAGCCGUGUCGGUCCCGAACCCUCGGGUGGAAGCCGAAGAGCACUACUACAACGCGAAGCACACCAAGCUCAUCGAGCUCGGCCUCGUCCCGCACCUGCUCUCUGACUCCCUCCUCGAUUCGCUCCUCAACUUUGCGAUCAAGUAUAAGGACCGAGUUGACCCCGCCCAAAUAAUGCCGAACGUCUCGUGGAAGAAGAUCGGCGCCAAACCGAAGACUGUCGCGCUUUAGCUGUUCUAACUUGUUUAUAAUAAGUGAUUACUAUGUUUCCAAUCAUAUAGUUGGCAUAGUAUCUGUUGUAUUUUAUGAGAUUAGGUUCAACUCUUUUUCUUUUUUUUUUUUCUUUUUUUUGGUUAAGAGAUCAUGGUGAACAUUAAACACUUUAUAAGGGUUUUUGCUUUUUCUAUUUAUGCAUUAUUGUGAUUGUAUAAUGAUUAGCAAAAUUUUUCCAUGUUACGUUGACUUUCACUCCGUUGACCUCGCACAAACGCUAUUGUUGUAAUUUUUUUUUAAUCUAUAAAUAUAUGUGAUUCGAGGCAAAUAAAAAAAAAAAAAAAUUCCCUCCUUGCACUUUAGAAUUAUCAUUUUUUAUAAAUAUUUACUUUAAUUUGAAUUCUAUAUUUUCUACCACAAUUUUAAAUAAUAUUGUGGACCGAACUCCUGUUGACUCCUUAGAACGUUGCCUACACCGGGCGCAUCAUAUUUGUACACUAUUUUUUUAGGGAAAAUUUCUUCACUGCCCUUCCAAAUAAGUCUAAUAUCAUAAACACCCCUAUAAAAAUUAAAAUAUCAUAAAAAACCUUCCAAAAGAGAGAAAUUUUCAAAAAUAACCUUCACAUUAAGUUGUCAUCAAUUUUGAAUAGACAGGCAAAUAAAAUUCCAACUUUACCCCUGUUGUCAUUACCAUCUUAAAAUAUUUAAUUAGCUAUAAAAUCAUUUAUAACUUUAUAAACACCCCUUUAAAUUAUAAAUAAUCUACAUUGAGAGAUAAGUUUUUAUCAAGUAUAAUAUAUAUAUAUAUAUAUAUAUAUAUAUAUAUAUAUAUAGAGUCCGACUACUAUACUAUUAUGAGUACGAUCGUCCUCAUACUCAUAAGUUGUUUUCGAUGAUAGAGCUUCCGAAUCGACGAUCCACACCGUUAAACGUUAUUUACAGCAUUUAAAACUUAUAGAAAUCAAAUUUUAUAAUUUUUCGACAUCAUUUACCUUACGAUCAAGAUGUCACAAAUUUGACAAUUUUUAACGGCCGGUAUGGGAUACUUGCUAGUUUAACGGUGUAAAAGAAUCGAAAUUUGUUGAAUUUUUGAUAAAAAAUUGUAUUUACUACAUAGAUAAAGAUCAAUAACUCUGAUCUUGAAUUGAAGGAUCCGAUCAUCCUUUUUUAGGAUGUCAUUCGAUUUUGACCGUUCAUUUUAUGCCCGCUUGAUGGACUUUAUUAUUUGAAAAAAAAAAAUUAAGCAAAAAUUUGUUUAAAGUAUUAACUAACUCAUUAAAAUAAGGUUAAACAAUUUAUUCAAAAUAUAACCUAAAUAUAUAUAUACAUGAUGUGAACUAAGUUAUUUGAACUGGCAUAAAUUUAUGUGCUUUAGCAUCUCAAAUUUCAAAAUAAAUGAUGUAAAGUAUCUUAUUUUGUAAACCACACAGUAGUAAACUAAAAUGAUGUAUUUUAGUCUUUAUUUUAAUAUUUUAAAAUAAAUAUUAUUAUGCUAAAAUACUUUUGUAAAAGAUUUUAGAUGUUACGGGCAAAAUGGACAUUUUCACUAUAUUUAUGAUAAUCUAAAUAUUUUAGCAUUCUAGAAAGAAAUGAAAAGUAACGAUAAGGGUAUAUUUGAAAGAUAAUAAGCUUUUGUAGAGGUAUCUAUGAUAUAAUCAAAUUUAUAGGGGCGCUAUGAUAUUUUUGAAGUUUAGAGGGGCACCAAUGAAAUUGACCCUUUUCUUUUUAGGUACACGUCCCUGCAAAUAUGGUGAAUUGCAGAUAUAUCCCUACAAAGCUCAACUUUCAUAAGUUAUUCCUACAAAUGUUCUAAUGUAUUCAGAUAUGCCCCUCUGGUUAGGAUCCGUUAGAGAGCUGUUAAUUUUUUAACAGUAGAGUUGUGAAAUGAUAAUUUUGUUCUUACCCUCUUCCUCUUCCUCUUCCUCUUUAGGCUGCUGGAGCGGACGGCGGCGGUGGUGACGGCGACGGCGACCUUGCGGAGCUUGUCGGGGUUGCGGCCAACGAGGAUGCGGAAGAAGCGGAAGGCGAAGGCGCGGCCUAUGCCGUCGGAGGCGCCCGUGACGACGGCCCACGCGGGCACCACGACGGCGACGACGAUCGGGUUAUCGAUGAUGACGAAGAAGAAAAGGGAGGAGAAAAGGAGAAGAAAAGGAGGAUAUGGAGAAAAGGAGGAAGAAGAAGAAGAAGAAGCAGGAGAGGAAGAGGAAGAGGAAGAAGAAGAAGAAAAAGAAGAAGAAGAAGAAGAAGAAUGGCAAAAUUAUCAAUUCACAUUAUUAAUUAACCCAAGAUAAGUAUUUUAACUAUGGUUAACGAAAUUUCUCUAACGGACCCUAACGGUAGGGACAUAUCUGAAUACAUUAGGACUUUUAUAGGGAUAAAUUAUGAAAGUUGAACUUUAUAGCGAUAUAUUUGUAAUUCACCAUAUUUGCAGAGAUGUGUAUGCAAUUAACCCUUUAUAUUUUGAAUUAAUAGUUAAAUUAAAAUUAUAAUCUCUAGCAUUCAUAUUUACUAGUUAAACGCCCGCGCUUCGCUGCGGAAAAAAAAAUUACAAUAAAUAUACAAUAAUAAUUAAUAAAUAAUAAUUAAAAAAUAUUAAAAAAUAAAAAUUAUUUAUAUUAGAGAUUUACUUAAAAUUAAGCCACAACAAAUAUAAUCUUUUCUUUCUUAUUUUGAUUCGCUUUUGGGUCCGUUAUUAAUUGUCCUUAUUAUUUUCUCAUAUAUAGUUUUGAGAUUAAUUUUCUAUUUUCUCUUUUAUUAUAUUUGGUUGGCCGAAAGUGAACGCCUGAAGUACUAUUUUUAGAAAAUGACAUUUUAUAAGUUAGUUUGUUUGUGAAAAUAGAUAGUUUGCAUUUGGAAUUAAUUUCAAUAAUCAAAUAGUAAAUCAAAAUUUGAGUCAAAUCAUGAAUUCAAAUUAUGAAUUCAAAUUUGAAUUAAGAUUUAAUCUUUAAGUUGAAAUAUGAUUUUAGAAGUUAAUUUUAAUUAUAAGGUAUAACUUAAAAUUUAAAUUCAAAUUAAAUUUGAUUAUAUGUCUUAAAUUUUAAUUAUAAAUUUUAAUCACAAUUAGGUUUAAAUUUAAAAUUUAAAAUUUAAUUUUGAAUUCCAAGUGUAAAUUUAAAUUUAAAUUUAAUUUAUAGUCGUUUGUUUAUAUUUUUACUUUUUUAAUAUAAUCAAAUAAUCAAACAAUCGAAAUCAUCAAAACCAAAUUUUUUUAUUUUUUACUUUAUAUCCAACCAAACAAUGAAAUUCAAAAAUUACUUUCCUAAAAGCCACUUUUAUAAAAUUAACUUUUUUCACUUCAAUCAUUUUUAGGCAACUAAUCAUGAGAUUAUAAUUUGUAUUAUACCCCAAAUCUAUUUUAUCUGUGCACUUAUUAAAUAUAAAUUAAAAAUGUUAUUCUUAGGUAGGUAGUGUAAGCUAUCAGAGAAAAUAAUUGUUUUUCAUAAUUUAAUGUAGUAUUAAAAUAGAAGGUUAUAAUUUUGGAUUUUGAUAUGCUCCUAACUUUAUUUAAUUUUCUUUCAUUUAUUCAAGUAAAUGUUAGGUCUCUUAAAAGUGGAGUCCAGAUAUUAGAAGAUAUGUUAAAUAAAAAAGAAUCACAAAAUAGUAUAGUGACUCCUGUGUCCCUAAUACAAUUUUGUUUGUGAGCGACGCAGCUCUUAAAUUAGUUGCCGCAACCACCACCACCGCAGCCCCAACCUCUAUCCCUUCAUUAGCCCUUGCCCGUCUGCCGCCGCUCGCUCUCCACCCGCGCGCCGGCCCUUGAUGCCUCCGCGGCCCUCGCCGCGGCCUCCGUGGCCGCUGCUGCUGCCGCCGCUGCGCUCUUGCCCCUGCUUCCCCUCCUGCUCCUCCUAGUCGUCGUCCUUCUCCUCGCUCUCCUCCUCCGCCGAUUACGCGAGAUCCUCCGGAGCAUCGGGGAACGGGGCGGUGGGGAGGGUUUCGUGCCUCAUCGAGAGCGAGCCCGCCUUCAAGAGCUCCAGAUCCAUCGGAUUCCAGCUCCCGCGCUCCAGAUCGAUCGCCGUCACCUCCGGUCAUGGCAUCGGCGGAGGAGAGGAGGGGGAGGCGAAGAGGCGGGGAUGGGCGGCGCUGUGGCCGUUCUCGAGGUCGGCGGCGGCGGCGGCGGCGGCGGAGGCGGAGGGGGUGAAGUUGUCGAGAUGGAGAUCAGGUUCCGGAGGUGGAAGAGAGGGGAAAGGCAAGGGGCGGCAUUGGCACUUUCUAAGCCCGAUGAAAGCUUUUGGGUUAAGAUAGAGAGAACGGAAGAGAGCUAGAGAGAGAGUAGGGGAGAGGAGGAGAGAGAGAGAGAGAGAGCAAGAAGGAGAGGAUUUUCUUGGGAAAGAGGAUUUUCUUGGGAAAGAAAGAGCUGUUGGAGGUUAGGGUUUUUGGGUGCUUAAAGUAUUACACCAAAAGACGUCAAGUUUGGAACGCUCAACAGUGUUACCUUCAGCGUAAGAAACCCUAAAUUUAAUAAAUAAGCUAAUUGGGCUCCAGAGAUAUGGGCCUUAAUACGCUUUCACUUAUUGGGCUUGUAUGUGAACAUAUUAUUUGGAUUAUAUUAUAACAAAAUAUCCAAUAACAAUAUAUCCAACAAUCUCUUCCUAUGUUCACUAUACAGUACAAUCCAAUACAGUGGUCAGUGUAAUGUUCAAACAAUUAUGAAUCAUCCACAUUCAGUCCAAGACAAUCAACUCAGAUUAAAAACUCAAUCAUCAAUUGUAAUUCAAAUGAGUGAAUCAUUCUUAUCAUGAAUCUGUUCUGAGAUCGACAUAUCCAAAAUGAUUCUCAAAAUCAGUUCACAACCAACAUAUGCAUAACGGUCAAAUAUAAGUAGGCCAGUCAAAAUAAUCCAAGGCCUUACAAAUAAAAGAAAAAGACAUAAUAAUAUUCACAAAUAUAGAUAGCCAAAAACAAGUCUUAAGUAAAUGGACUCCAUCAAAACAGGUAAUAGUAGGUGAACUGUCAAGUUCCCGUACACUCUAAAUGAUAUAUAUAUUCAUUCAUCAAAUAGAUCAUCCUGAUCUGGAUCUCACUUAUUAAGCUCUCCUCCAUCCCUGCCAUCCUCUGUAGAAUAUCAAAUAUAAAUUUCAUAUUAUCAUGAAUUUAAUCAUUUGAAUAAUCCACUAAAAAUGUCUAGUUCUACUAAAAGAACUUAGCAUCAUAACAUCAGGCAGAGAAGAAUAUAUAUUAAUGUCAUAAAGCAUCAUAAUAUCAUGUUCACAAGUAUCAAGCCAGUUUCAUAAAUUAUGAAUAAAGCCUAAAUAGUUUGAUUUAUAAAGAGCCAUCAACUUAAGUUUAUUUGUAAGAGAAUAAUCAUUGUCUAGUUUCAAAGAACAUGACCAAAACCAACAGACUUCUUAUGCAUAUAGCUAUUUCUAUGUUUCAAUUUGGAAUGUCACAGUUACUAAUUCUUUUAAGUCAAAUAAUCUAGCAUCAAGUUUGGAAUGAGAUCAUUUAACUAAGAAAAGAAUAGUCCAGCCUAGUUGGAUUGUAUCAUCAAGUUUGGAAUGACACAAGCCUUCCAGGUAGAACUUUGAACUAGGUUAAAGUCAUUUUCAUCAAGUUUGGAAUGAAACAACUCACCUUUUUCAAAUUAGUCCGCAACCAUGAACAUCGAUGAAACAUAUAAAUUGUGCUUGACCACCAAAGGAAGGAAGAUUCGAUAAUUCAAAACAUACAAUUAGAAAGUAAGUAAAUGGUAAUUAAGACUAAUUUACAUAGUCUUUAACCCCAUUUCCCCCACUGUUUUGAAUAAUCGAUCUUUAGUCAUACCUUUUGUGAGAGUAUCGGCCAUGUUAUCCUUCGAUCUCACAUCGAUCAAGGUGAUAACCCCUUGUUCUCUCAGAUAAUUCAACAACGCAUGUCUCAGUCUCACAUGUCUUCUCUUUGAAUUAAAGAAAGCAUUUUUGACAACUUGGACAGCUGCUUGAUUAUCACAGAACAGGCUUAAAGAAUUAAUCUGUAGCCGAGUCAAAGGAAUAUCCAAAAUCAGAUUCUUUAUCCAUUCUGCUUCUUCGCCAGCGGAAGCUAAAGCAAAAAGUUCCGAUUCCAUAGACGACAAGGCAAUACAAGUCUGUCUUUUGGAUUUCCAAGUAAUAGCAGCUCCACCCAAAGUGAAUACAUAUCCACUUGUGGACUUACUAUUUCCAAUUUCUGAGCACCAUGAGGCAUCAGAAUAUCCAUCCACAGUUGGAGGAUAACCAGAAUAACAUAGAGCAUAAUCUUUCGUACCUUUAAGGUAUCUCAUCAGCCUACUAAGGGCAUCCCAAUGCUCUUUACUAGGAUUACUAGUGAAACGACUCAGCAUGCCAACUGUAAAGGCGAUGUCGGGUCUAGUGCAACUCAUAGCAUACAUGAGACUACCAAUCAGUUUUGAGUACUUUAAUUGAUCCACACUGGUCCCUUCAUUAGGACUCAGUCUUUUAUUAUAAUCACAUGGUGUCUCACUCGGUUUACAAUCACUGUAUCCCCAGGUAGAAAGUAGCUGCUCAAUAUAAUGAGUCUGGCUAAGGGAGAUGACUUGCCUUUCAAAUCUUACUUUCAUACCAAGAAUGGUAUUAGCAAUACCAAGAUCUUUCAUGUCAAAUUCUUUAGCUAAAGUAGCUUUCACGUCACUCACUACAGAAUGAUCGGAGCCAAGAAUUAACAUGUCAUCAACAUAUAAGCAAAUGAUGACUAUCUUAUUUGACACAGAACGAUGGUAAAGGCAUUUAUCUGAAUAGCUAGACUGAAAGCCAUAACUCUUUACCACUUUGUCAAAUUUAAGAUGCCACAUCUUAGGUGCUUGUUUAAGACCGUACAAAGAUUUAUUCAAUUUACAAACUUUGUCCUCAAGACCUUUCAUGACAUACCCUUCAGGUUGUUCCAUGUAGAUUUCUUCAUUUAACUCUCCAUUUAGAAAAGCUGUUUUUACAUCCAUUUGAUGCACUACAAAGUGUUCAAUAGAUGCCAAAGCAAGAAGAAUUCUUAUAGUUGAUAGAUGACACACAGGUGAAUAAACAUCAAAAUAGUCUAUUCCACUCUGCUGUUUAUAGCCUUUAGCUACUAAGCGUGCUUUGUAUCUGGCUAUUGAUCCAUCACUAUUCAGUUUCUUUUUCAAUACCCACUUACAGCCUAUAGCCUUAGCCCCUUUAGGCAAAUUGACUAGCUGCCAAGUGUGGUUCUGCAACAGAGAGCUCAUUUCAUCAUCUAUGGCUUCUGCCCACAGUAGGGAUUCCCUAGAUCUCAUUGCUUCUUGAUAAGAAAAUGGAUCAUCCUCGAGAUGGUAAGUAACAAAAUUCUCACCAAAACUUUUGGGAACUCUCUCUCUUGUAGAUAUUCUAACUGGAACUGAUUCAAUAGCCAAUUGUGUGGGAUUAGUGUCAGAAGGGCCUGCUUCAGAUUCUACAGGAGAUUCUGAAAUCAUAUCUGUAGAUCCAGAAACAUUCAAGCCAUGAUCUCUGAGAAACUUAUUCUCAAAGAAUUCUGCAUCUCUAGAUUCUAUCACUGUGUUAGUAGAUAGAUCUAAAAACCUAUCUGCAGCACUAUCUUCUGCACUGCCUAGAUAUACACAGGUAAUGGUUCUAGGUCCCACCUUAGGCCUCUUUGGAUCUUGUAUUCUUACAUAAGCAAUACAGCCCCAGGUCUUAAGAGUAUCAUAUCUACAAGGAUGCUUAUGCCAUAUCUCAUAAGGUGUCAUAGACAACUUAGAGUGUGGCAACCUGUUCAGGAUGUGAUUAGCAGUCAGAACUGCUUCUCCCCAAUAGGAGGAAGGCAUGCCAGCUGUAAGUAACAUAGAAUUUAACAUUUCAGUUAACGUUCUAUUCUUACGCUCAGCAACACCAUUUGAUUGGGGUGAGUAAGGAGCAGUGGUUUCAAGUAUUAUGCCCUCUGAAGCACAAAAUUCCUUGAACCCUGUCAUUGUAUAUUCUCCUCCUCUAUCACUCCUAAACCUCUUAAUUUUCAUGUUGAGUUGAUUUUCUACUCUAGAUUUGAAAAUUUUAAACUUUUCAAAAGCCUCAUCUUUCGAUUUCAACAAAUAGACAUGACAAUAUCUAGAAAAAUCGUCUAUGAAUGUUAUCAAAUACUUUCGACCACCUCUAGUGACGUAAUUUCUAAAAUCACAAAGAUCAGAAUGUAUUAGCUCAAGAAGUUGUGUGCUUUUAGAAACCAUCUUAAAAGGUUUUCUAGUGAUCUUAGCUUGUGCACACACUUCACAUUUGUCAAAUCGAAUAGAAGUAUCCAAUGGAAUGUUGUGAGUUUUAGCUAGAAGUUGCAUUUUCCUGUAGUUCACAUGUCCAAGUCUAUUGUGCAACAACUUUGGAUCAAUCAGAAUAGAACUCACAUGGUUUAUGCUAUCAGUAUCUAAACUCAACCUAUACAUACCAUUAACCAUGAAUGCACAACCAAAAUAACAUGAGUUAACUGAUAAGGUUACUCUACCAUUCAUAGUUGAAAAGGACAUACCAGCUUUAUCAAGUAAGCUCAUAGAUAUCAAAUUCUUUUUAAGUAAAGGUACUACUCUAACAUGUUUCAGAGUUAGUAAUUUACCUGAAGAAAGCACCAAAUUUGCAGUUCCAGUAUGAGUCACUUCUGCCUCACCACCAUUGCAAUUUUCCACGGUGUCUUUCACUUCUGUGACCUCUGUGAGUAGGUUCUUGUCAUUUGCAGCAUGACAAGUAGCGCCACUAUCCAACCACCACUCAGUAGAAAUACUAGCCUUUCCAAUUUUCAUCAUUCCAAUGAAAGCUUGAGGCUCAGAUUCACUAGUUAGCAUAUUAGCCUCACUUUGUGGUGUGUUAUUCUUUGGCUUCUUUGGUAGUCUACACUCUGCUGCCCAGUGACCCCAUUUUCCACAGUUAUGGCACUUUCCUUUCUUUUUCUUUUUGGAGAUAGUCUUUUUGACCUCUAGCUGUGAAGAAGAUUCACCUUUUGGUGACUUGGAUCUUUUCUGAGGUUUAUUGAAGUGUGAAACUAAGUUGGCAACUGACUUUUGUUGUCCUACUUGUUCUAAAUUCUUUCUAGUACUGUUUUGAUCCUCAAUGUGAAUAUACCUCUUUAAUUCAUCCAGUCCCAUCUGUUCUUUCAAUCUGUGCAUUUCAGUCUUGAAAGAAUUCCAUUCAGCAGGUAACUUACUCAAUACAAGACCAACAAAGAGAUUAUCAGACAUAUCAGAUUUAUCAUCUUUCAGCUUGUUCCUCAUGUUCUCAAGUUCAAUUAAUUGAGAGGUGAUACUUGAAUUCAUAUUGAACUUAAAGUCAAAAAAUUUCUCCGCUAGAAGAGUUUUAGAAAGCCCCUCUUGUUUUUGGAACUGAGCGUUCAAGUGAUCCCGUAUCUCUUUCGCUGUCUUAUUCUCACUAUAAGUCGUAGCUAGACGACGAUUUAAAGAGUUCAACAAGUAAUCUCUACAGAAAUUUUCAUCCUUGUUCCAUUGAUAUUCAUCCACAUUUUCAAUGGUAGAUGAAAAAUCACUCAAAACAGUGUAGAAUAUUUCACGUUCUUUCAUGCCAAAUUGAACAUAUAAUUUCCAACCAUGAAAUUCAGUAACAUCAAAUAAUUGCAAUUUUAUAAUAUCAAAAGAACUACGCUUUGCCAUUUAAUCAGAGCAAAGUGUUAGAAAGAGUGCACCUUGUAGUCCGCAGAUCUCGCAAAAUCGAAUAAAGCCCCUGAUCUGAAUCAAAGUGCUUUGUAGAGGUGGAAUUUGCCAAAAACAAACCCAAAAUUGGAUCCGUAGCGCCCAAAAACCUUAAGAUGAACUGCCCUCGUCGCCGGAAACUGCUGAAAACUUUCGAUGGUCGUAACUUCGUCGUCCGACCUCCGUUCGAGACGAGUAACCACUCAAAACGUUCGUAUCGAUGAGUAGAACAGAACCCAAGUGGUUUCACCCUCUGAAAUUGGCUAUAAUUUCUGGAUUUUUUGAAUCAAAGAAUUCCGCCGCCUGACCUUCAAACUCAGAUCCCGGCCAAUCCGAUCGUCGAAAUCGAAAAUAAAUUAUACCGGUGAAUUCGUCUUGACGAGAUCUUCGAAUCGACACCUUACUCGCUCAAAUCCAACAUAGGAUCGUAAUACUUUAAGAUUGUUGGAGGUUAGGGUUUUUGGGUGCUUAAAGUAUUACACCAAGAGACGUCAAGUUUGGAACGCUCAACAGUGUUACCUCCAGCGUAUGAAACCCUAGAUUUAAUAAAUAAGUUAUUGGGCUCCGGAAAUAUGGGCCUUAAUAUGCUUUCACUUAUUGGGCUUGUAUGUGAACAUAUUAUUUGGAUUAUAUUAUAACAAAAUAUUCAAUAACAAUAUAUCCAACAAGAGCUGCCUUGAAACAUUUCAAGAAUAUCUUGGAAAAAAGAGAGGCUUGAAACAUUUCAAGAAUAUCUUGGAAAAAAGAGAGGAUUUUCUUGAAAAUGAGCUGGUCUCCAGCCUUGGGAAAGAGCCAAGAAAAUAAGUGAUUGUCAUUUUUUAUUCGUUGAAAAAUGAGCCAUAUCAAUAUUCGUGGAAAAAAGCGCCUUAUCUGAAAAAUAAUUUUUUAUUCGUAAAAAAGAAAGGGAUUUACGGUGGAAUAGGCCUAUUCAAUUUUUUUAGGACGCGUGGCAAGGUCCCAUUGGCCCAUGCCUUAUGGCGGCUUCUUUUUUAAUUCGUAAAAAAGGAAAUGUCGUGUAUACUUUUUAAACUGUCAAUUAGUAUAUUUGGUAUGGAUAUUAGCUAAUUUUAUAUUUUGGAUUAAUAGUUAAAUUAAAAUUAUAAGAUAAGCUAGUGUGAUUAAAAUGGGGUGCCUUGGUGGUGGUUAAGCAAAAGAGCAAAAAAUCUCCUCUGCUUCGUCGCCUCCUCUCUCUCUCUCUCUCUCUCUCUCUCUCUCGUUGUAGAUAUCUCUCUCUCUCUCUCUUGCGUGGAAAUGGCGGAGGAGAAGGAUGUGGUGAAGCACGUGCUCGUCGCCAAGUUCAAGGACGAGGUCGCUCCGGAGAAGGUGGAGGAUCUCAUCAAGGGAUACGCCAAUCUCGUCUCCCUCAUCGAGCCCAUGAAGGCCUUUCACUGGUAAGAGUCGCGUUUCUUAAAUUUUUUUUAACAAUUAUUACUCUCUUUCGUCGAUCUGAACCUGUUUUAGGGCAUGGGUCUUGCUCAAAGUCGCUUUUUGGUUUGAUGGGUUGGUUGCGGAAUCCCAUUCCCAAAUACUUGAUGUGGGUUUGUGGUUAAUAUGUUUGUUUGAUUGAUGAAUAAUGGUUACUUUAUUUUUUAUUUUUAUUUUUUUUUUACAAUUACUACUCUUUUUCGUUGAUUUGAACCUGUUUUGGGGCAUGGGCCUUGCUCAAAAUCGCUUUUUGGUUGAUGGGUUGGUUGCGGAAUCCCAUUCCCAAAUACUUGAUGUGGGUUUGUGGUUAAUAUGUUUGUUUGAUUGAUGAAUAAUGGUUGCUUUAAUUUUUAUUUUUAUUUGCAAUUACUACUCUUUUUCGUCGAUUCGAACAUGUUUUAUUACAUGGGUCUUGUUCAAAAUCGCUAUUUGUGAUGUGGAUUUGUAGUGAUAUGUUUGAUUGCUUGGUUGAUAAUGGUUAUCUCUUUUUUUUGGGGGGCAAUUAUUACUCUUUUUCAUGGAUUUGAACCUGUUUUGUGACAUCACUGUUGUUCAAAAUCGCGUUUUAGUGUGGAUUUUUUUUUUUUGGUUGGUGGAGAAUUACACAAUUUUUGUGGUAACAUGCAUGUUUGAUCGAUUGAUUGGUAAUGGUUAUCUUUCACUAUUAUAUUACUCUUUUUCAUGGAUUUGAACUCGUUUUGUGACAUGGGUUUUGUUCAAAAUCGCAUUUUUUGGUGUGGAUUUUGAUCCGUAUAUAUUUUUAUGUGGAUUUAUGUGUUGGUUCGUGGCAAUAUGUUUGAUUGAUUGAUGAUGGUUAUCUUUUUUCUUAUUUUUACCUUUUUUUCCCCACUAGCAUUACUCUUUUUGAUUGAUUUAAACCAGUUUUGUGACAUGGGUUUUGUUCAAAUUAGAACUCCUUAUGUUUUUUGCGGAUUUAUGUUAAUUUUUGGUUAUUGUUGUUCUUAAUUGAUUCCUCAUGUUUAUAAAUUGAGAUGUUUUGAUGCAAUUUGUAGGAGUGGUGUUGUUUAGGUGCAAAAAUGUAGGGAUCUUUUAGUGGUUUAGUUUAACUCUCCAUCAUGUUCAAUGGUUGUGAUUACCACUUUGCAAAUCUCGAGUAAUCGGAUAUUUUGCGCUUAUUUAGUACUGUAAUGAUCCAACCCGCCAGCAAUAAUAACUCAUCGAACCCAAACCAUCGGUCCAAAAUGCUUAAGCCCAAUUAUUAUUAUUAGCGUUGAGGCCUCAUAUAUUCUAAUUAGAAUCGAUUUUUCAUCCGAUGUGGAACUAUUGGGGCGUUACAAGUACGUAGGAAAGGAUUUAAAGAACCACGAUCUGAAUUGUAUUCAACGACAUGAAUCUAUGGGUCCAAUGCCCUAGAAUUUACUGAAUAGGAAAUAUUAAGAACCAAGUUGUUGUAAAGAUAUUCUAGAAAGAUGCUGUGAUCUUCUAACUGCAGCGGUGUGCAAUUCACAAAAUGUUGGUUUAAAACAGGAUUGUAAAACAUUCCUAAUAGAACUUGUAAGAACUUCUGCUAUUUUGAACUUUCGACUGAUAAAAUUAGCUCAUUAUCUCCGUGGUUUUGGUGUGCACAUUCCAUAGAAACUAUUUUGAAGUUUUGGCAAUUGGCGGUCGAUUUCUCUCGUUUUGUUAUUCAUUUCUGUUUUCUAGUUAGCGAGAGCCUCUGUAGUGAGCGAGAACUUCAAAUUUACAAACAUCUUGCUCGUUGUUAUGUACAUACCGCAUAUUUGAUCUUUUAAUUAGCGAAGCAUACGUCACUGAACCGAGUUCUCGAGAGUUCCUAAUGAUUAAGAAGUGAAAGACCUAUUCGCGAACAACUCCGUUAGCUACUUAGUGUAAUCAAACUAUAUAGAUUAUCAUGUGCGGUAGAGGUUUCUUCAUCUUACAUUUGCUUGGAUAAUCAUGUGCUUAUCAGUGUCAAACAUUAAGGUGCGUAGUAAGAAAAUUAAAGAGGCUGCUUACAGGAGGAUCGAUCACGUUCGGAGAAUUCUGUCAGUUUACGAGGAGCGUAGUACGCGAUUUGCCUGUUUGGCUGUGCUGUAGGGUGUAGCUUUGUUCAAUAAAGUGUUGUUUCAGUAAUGCUGUUCGGGGAAGCACCUGUAGAUCGUUUUCAUAAAAAAAUCCAUCCUUGUAGCUUCCCUUUGCAGCUAAAGCAGAAGCUUCGGAUCGGAGCCUCUUUUUUUUUCGCUUCGCAUCACCGUAAAUUCUCCAAACUUCUCCGUAGAUGUUAUCAUAGCUUUUCUCUUUUGCUGAUAUGAAUAUGCUACUGCGAUUAUAAACGCAGGGGAAGAGAUGUGAGCGUGGAAAACAUGCAUCAAGGAUUCACCCACGUGUUCGAGUCGACUUUCGAAAGUCUCGAAGGGAUCGCAGAGUACGUUGCGCACCCGGCCCACGUCGAGUUUGCCAAUCGGUUCCUUCCUGCGCUCGAGAAGGUCAUCAUUGUCGAUUACAAACCAACUGCGGUCGAUCAACAGUAAGGCAAAAUCGACGAGGCGAGCGAGCGAGCGAACGACGUGUGAGAUAUCUUUCUUUCGAGGUGGAGAUCGAGAUUUGUCCGCGCCAGUAUCGGAACUUGUUUGUGGCAACUGUUCUUGCUUUGUUCUAUAAACUCUUGUGGUUUUGUACUUUCAGUUUGUGAGUCAUUGAACAAUGUUGUAACUUUGAGAUUGAGAAUGUUCACCUCACCAAUUCAUCUUUGAAUAUAUAUAUAUAUAUAUAUGCUGGAGAUUUAGAAUGUGAUUUGGUUCUAUUCUAUGUAAGCAACAACAAAAAUGAAAGUUAUAUUCAUGCCUUGUUCUUCGAUUCUUAUGCUUAAUUAUCAGAAUUAGAAGAGAAAAACUAGGCGCUCGAUAUAAGUACAAAAUGGCGGUGUAAUUAAUAAUUUCAAUCGAGGAAAGAGGUUGAUAAACAAUGUCGAAAAAAAAGUAGAGCUUAGAUUAUACUAUUAUGGAGUUUUGAGGAUUAAAAUAAGCACAUAUUUUUAUAUUAAGAAAGAAGAAAAAAAAAUUAAAAUAUAAGUACUCUCAAAACUAGAAUAAUUAGAAAGUUCAGGGGCUUUUUCAGUGCGAGAUAUUGUUGAGGGGUCUCCACGCAUUUUUACCCUUCGCCCUUCUCCUUCACUCCUCUAAAAACCCUAACCCUAACUGGUCGAAGAAGAAGAAGAAGAAGAAGAAGAAGAGGAGAAAUGCUCCCCAGAUGCUCCCCAGUAAUGUACCCCAAAAGGUACUUUCUCCCCGAAACCCUAACCCUAACUCUCCGUCGACGCUUCUCCCCAAACCCUAACCCUAGCGGCGACCCGGUGGCCGCGCUCCUCCGCAUCGUCACCACCUCCUCCUCCCCCGAAUCCAUGGAAUCGUCGCUGGAGAGCUCCCGCAUCCCGCUCUCCCCCGACCUGCUGGACUCCGUGCUCAAAAAGGUGCGCUUUUGCCACGCCAACCCCCUCAAAACCCUAGACUUCUUCCGCCUCGCGGCGAAGCAACGGGGCCUCUCCCCCACCCCCUUCUCCUACGACACCAUGCUCUACGUCCUGGGCCGGAGCAGGCGCUUCGGCGAGUCCUGGGCCCUGUUGAAGGAGAUGAAGCGCCAAGACCCCGCCUUGAUCACCCCCCGCACCGUCAUGGUCGUCCUCGGCCGCGUCGCCAAGGUCUGCUCCGUUCGCCAAACCCUCGAGAGCUUCAGGAAGCUCCGCAAGCUCUGCGCCGAGCUCGACACCCCCUGCUUCAAUGCCCUGCUCCGGACCCUCUCCCAGGAGAAGACCAUGGGCGACGCCCGCAACGCGUACCACAGCUUGAAGCACGAUUUCAAGCCCAAUUUGAGCACUUUCAACAUCCUCUUGUCCGGGUGGAGGUCGGCGGAGGACGCCGAAGGGUUCUUCGCGGAGAUGCGAGAGCUCGGGGUGCGGCCCGAUCUCGUCUCCUAUAAUUGCUUGGUCGAUGUCUACUGCAAGAAUCGCGACGUCGCCAAGGCCUACAAGGUGCUCGACGAAAUGCGCGAGAGGGAAAUGCGCCCCGACGUGAUCACCUACACUAGCUUGAUCGGCGGGCUCGGGCUCGUCGGCCAGCCCGAUAAGGCUCGCGACGUCCUGAGGGAGAUGCGGGAGCUGGGUUGCUACCCCGACGUCGCGGCGUACAACGCCGCCAUUCGGAACUACUGCAUCGCGAAGCGGCUCGGGGACGCCUUCGCGCUGAUGGAGGAGAUGCGCGGGAGGGGGUUGGAGCCGAACGCGACGAGCUACAACUUGUUCUUCCGGUGCUUCUACUGGGCGAACGAUUUGGUUAGCGCGCGGAGGGUGUACGAGAAGAUGCGGGCGGAGGCGUGCUUGCCGAACACGCAGUCCUGCAUGUUUCUCAUCAGGCUGUGCCGGAGGCAGGAGAAGGUUGAUCUGGCGCUCGAGCUCUGGAACGACAUGGUCGAGAAGGGGUUCGGGUCGUUCACGCUGGUGUCGGACGUGCUGUUCGAUCUGCUUUGCGACGCUGGGAAGUUGGAGGAGGCUGAAAGGUGCUUUCAUCAGAUGGUCGAGAAGGGGCAGAAGCCGAGCAAUGUCUCGUUUAAGAGGAUUAAGGUUCUUAUGGAGCUCGCGAAUCGGCACGAGUCGAUUAGUAGGUUGUCGGAGAAGAUGGCUCUCUUUGGACGAUCAGUAGUAGGUGAUGAUUCGUGCGAUGUAACAUCGUCGUCGGAUCCUGGAGUAAUGGCCGUUUAGUACGCCUUAUAAUUUUGGAUCCUGAUUAUGCGAGCGUACGCGAAACAUAAGCGAUGUUUGGAGGUUGCCGCCUCAGUGUUUAGGCGCGAAGAACUGCGUUGAGAUUUCUGCAGAGAAAAGCACCUCUUUGCUACUGCAUCAGCUUUGUACCAUAUUCAGUGAACUAAUAAUUUACGGAGGAGGAUUGAUGAUUCAGUGAACUAAUAAUUUACUGAGGAGGAUUGAUGCUCCUUGUUAGGAUCUUGAAUGAAUGUACAGUAUUGUAACUAAAUUAUUAGAGGAUUUGAUGCUGAUCCUUUGUAGGUUGUAUUAGUAUUACUUUUUUUGUUUUUUUGGUUUAUUGUAUAACCAAACUUAGGCUUUAGAUGUUGUUCAUACAACCAAACUAUAUUAAUACAUAGGAAUAUAACCAAACUAUGUAGGAGUAGGAUUAGUGUACUAUUAAGAGCAUGGAGGUUUCUGUACUCUUAAGUCGUUUUCGAUGCUGAACUUUUUAGAUCGAUGAUAAGCUCCGUCAGAUUUAAUAUAACGCAUUUUAAAAUAUCUAAAAAAAUUAAUUUAUAAUUAUUUUGACAUAAUUUAUUUAUUGAUUGAAAGGGUUUAAAAUUAAUAAUUUUUAAUGAUUGAUGCGUGCCAUUUAUAUAUUUAACAAUGUAAAAAUAUAUAAAUCAAAUAAAAUUUUAAUAAAAAAAAUUUUAUACUAUCUAUAACAAUAUCAAUAUUUUUGAUCAAAAAUUUUAAUAUUACAUCAUAAUUUUUUUUGAAAUUUUUAUUUUUAACCGUCCAUUUUUAGUAUUUUCGCUCAUUAGAUAAAUAAUAUUAAAAAAUCACAAAAUUUGUUUUCUUUAUUCUUCAAAUAUACUAAAUCGAAUCUAACAGAAUUGAUUGUCGAUUCGAAAGUUUAAUCAUCAAAAGCGGCUAUUAGGCCUCCGUACUUCUAACAGCACACAAUUCCUAUUCUACCGUAUAUGGUAAGAUAUAAUUUCUGCGAUUUUAUAAGAAAACACAGAAGAAGAAACAUGGUUGGUCAGGAAACAUAACUUUUUCUUAUUACAAAUUGGUCGAAUGCCGCUCAUCCAACUAUCCUCCACUUUUGUAAUCCUAUCCACUCUAAAAAUGAUUCGGUAGAAAAGAUAUUGGCUUGUUGGUAGAAAUUCAAUAUACAUGUUGGAUGCAGGGCAUUCAUAUCAUACGCCGCCUCUCUCCCUUACGGCCUUACCUUGGCUCGUGUGUGUUCGGCUCAGUUCCGAGCUCAAUUAGGCUUUAAACGAAACUUAGUUAGAACAUAAAUUUUGGCUCGAUCUGAUUGACUCAGCUAAAAUAAAUUUCAAUUCAAGCUCAGCUUAGGCUUAAUUUGGUAUUGAGGCCUACCUGACACUAUUAUGGGCCGUUUGGUUAGAUAUAAUUAUAAAAAUAGUGUAGUUGGAAAUGCUACAGUCAUAACUACACCUAGUCUGUUUGAUUUUAUGCAGUCACAACUACUACAGUUACAUUUCUUCUGUUUGGUAGUCUGCAGUUGAAAUUUGUAUUUGUAAAAUCUAUCAAUUUUUAGAUAGAUAUGUGAGAAUACCUCUUCUGCGCAUAACGUAAUCAUGUUUUAAUUAUUAAUUAAGACUUUUAUAUCUAUAUAUAAUUUAUAUAUUAUAAAAUUAUUUAUGAAUUUAAUAAAUUUUAAAUGUAAAUAUAUUAUAAAUUUGGUCAAAAUAAAAAUUAAAAUAUUAUUAAACUAGCAGACUGGAAAAAAAAAAUGUAUGAAAAAAAAAUCACACUUUGUUUAUAUUUUUAAAGGAUAAGCCGACUCUGGCUCAAUUGCUGCAGUUGAGCCUUCUCGUGCAGAUACAACUGCAGCAGUUGGAUCCAACUACACCAAACCAAACAAAAGAUUAAUAGAUGCUUGCAUUUCCAACUGCAAUGCAGUUGAAAAUACAUGCAACCAAACAGCCCCUUAGAUAAAAUAGAGUAAGGGUAAAAGCAUAAAAGGAUAUGCUUCUACGUUCUCUGAUGAUACCGUAGAAAAUAUUCAUAACCGACUCCUCGCGAUAUACGAAACGCAAUAUUACUUACGAAAGCAGAAAAAAUAUUUUUUUUUCGUACUUUUUCACCGCACGUAACACAAUCUCUGCGCAAAUCCAAACGAAGCCUUAGUUCCACCCCUACUCCUCUUACCCUAAGUAAUAAUGCAGAUCUAUUUGAGGCGGCUACGGUGCGACGCUUUCGCAUAUUGAGCACAUAAUAGCCAUCUAAUUAGCACCGAAACCAUUAAGCAAUCACAGACAUUGCCCAUAUGAUGAUUAAACAACUAAGUUGGUGUUUGCAUGCAAGUCCUUGGAAAACCUUAUACGGGCUCUACCCAAAACUGACGAAAGUAAUAAUACGAGAGAAAUGAGAUGAAUAAAAAUAGGAGCUUAGAAUUGAAAUAGUAUUUGAUGUAAACAGAGAACAUCCAAAUAAGAAAACAAAUUCGAGAUUGUUAAGUCUUUUGGGACUAGAUAGCGAUAAAUUCAUCGGUCUGUAAAAGGUAACUAACUGUUGGGGGAAGAGCUCUCUCGAAGACUAAAACAUAAUAUAUUUGAUUAGGAAAGCGCACCGGAAUUUCCUGCUCGGCUCCGAGAAGAUGUAACAACAACACCAGCAAACUUUUAAGCCUGCACGGAAAAAAAAAAAGAGAGAGGAAGAAAGAGUGAUUAGCAUAACAAAUAGAGCAAGACAAGUUAAAAAGAAAUAGAAAUGAACCUCUGCAUAGGAGGAACCAAUUGUUUGAGAAAACAAAUUGCGACAAAUUGAAGUGCAAUAGCAAAUGGUGUAAAUUUUAUCAAGAAAGAAACUAAUCGCUUGCGAAUUCUCACCUUGUUAGCAAUGUUGUUGGAGAGCCAGUCCAAACCUUCGUACAAACCUUCUCCGGACGUAGCACACGUGCUCUGGAUGUACCUGAAAGCAAAGCGACAAAGACGCCAAAUCAUAAUGCCCUCAACAAUUGUAUAAGUUGUCCAAAUCUUCUAAAAUGCUUCUCAAAACAUCAAAACGUGAACCACAAAGGAAAAAGAAAAAAGAGGCAGCGAAAAUUGUUGCGGGGGCCUACCAGUGGCGCUGGCGGAGGGAAUGAAGGCCAAGCUUAUCAGUGAUCUCCGCGGCAUUCAUUGCAUUGGGAAGAUCUUGCUUGUUGGCAAAGACGAGAAGCACUGCAUCUCUCAGCUCAUCCUGACGAGCCAAUGAUACAAAUUGAUCUCCAAAUAAAUCAUCUUAUUUCCAGCUCCUCAAUAAUCUGGACAAAUCGAGGAAGCAAUGACAUAUUGUUUACCUCGUUAAGCAUCCUGUGGAGUUCAUCUCUUGCUUCAACGAUACGGUCCCUAUCGUUGCUGUCGACCACAAAGAUCAGACCUUGUGUGUUCUGGAAGUAAUGCCUCCAGAGGGGGCGGAUCUGAUAACAUUGGUAAAAUAUGCAGAAGAAUCAAUGCAAGCAACAACAAAGUAUCAGAAAAUUUCUUCCAUAUAAGGCACUGUAAUUGAUAGCAACAUGAUGUGGAAAAUCAAAUUAGAUUAGAAAUAAAAUGACAUGUAUAACCAACCAGAAGCUUCAAGAACACUCCCCCCAGGAAAAGCCAUCACAAUGAAAGCUAACACUGACUGCGUAUAGAACAGCAUUUGAAGUGAUUUCCCAGGGAAGAAAAAAAAAAGAGGAAAAUUCAGCUAAUCUAACUUAACUAAUGCGAGACUUUAGCCUAAUCUAUCCCGAACAUUUAAUGACGAUACACUAAUUUGAGCUACAUCACUGUUGGACCAGAAAACUUACACCUCCCCCCACCAAAGAAAAAGUAACUAAAUAGAGCUUUAGUACCACGACAGAUGUAAUUAGUGCAACCAUGUGAAAGAAAACUUGAUACUCAAUAAGGUCAAGCCAUCAAGGGUGAAAAAACUAAAUCCUGAUUACUGCCUAAUACAAGGAAAUUAAACAUGUGAUGGUUUGUAGGAAUUGCACAUUUACGCUAUCUCACUACCUCCUUCCCCAUGAAAAAGGUUGUGCAAGAAUUCGUGUGAUCCACAGAAAAAAUUGCACAAAACAAGGGAAAAACAUGACAGGAUAUCCAUUUUAUAUAACAGGUUUAGCAUAAACUAGUAAACACAUCUAAACGCAAACCUAAAAAAAACCAACAAAAGAAUGCAUACCUUGUCUUGGCCACCAACAUCCCAAACAGUAAAGCUGAUGUUCUUGUAUUCAACUGUCUCAACGUUAAAUCCUGGCAAGAAGCCAAAUAACAUAACUCAAUCACUUACAAGAAAAUAGACUAGACUGAUAAGACUAUAGUUUACCAUUAACUACGAAGUGAAUUCAAAUGAGCGAGCAAACAUGAGGAAUUUAGUCGAUAGCAUAGCCUGAAAAAGGUGUGCCACAGAGGCAUGCCUUGGUGCCCAGGCUUGAAGCACGAAAAUGGAGCCCAUGUGUGCAUCUCGGUACAAGCACAAAGCACUAAUAAGGGACGCUUAACUAGGAUGUGAAAUCCAAGUUUUCAACGUGGGUUUCAAAUGUGCGACAAAGGCAAAAAAACUAGAUAUGGGUUUUGAAUACUUAUAGCUAAGACGAAGGUUUCAGGUAAUUUGUGAUUUUUAGCAUCCAUGACGAACCAACUAGCAUCACUAAAGCAAUUUGUUUAUUGUUGUAAUUCAGUUUUAAACUACACUUUUUAUUGAAUCUUACUUAAGGUUUGUUUAUGAUAAGAUUGAUAGUAGCAUAGAUAAUUUCAUGAGUAUUUAUUUUUCAAAAUGUAAAUGCAAGGCUCAUCUUCAUCAAGCACACCCCUGGCACCUUGUGCCUAGGCUCCAAGCUUCCUCGCACAUUGGUGUGCCUCCUUGCCUUUUAAAGGAUAUCGAUGAGACUAAUAUAGGUGGUGUAAAGCAUGAGAAAGUAUGAUCUCCAUUAUGACUGCAUUUUCAUAAUUUCAUUGCAGGUAAUCCAAGAAGGAAAAAAAGAAAAAAACAACUCCCAAGUUUUCACGGGUUUUGGAAGCUGAAAAGCACAUGUUUUUGCAGUCUUAGUAAUUAGCUGCAAUAUUUAACCAUGCAGGAAAAUUGCCAACCAAGGGGCACUAUCAUUUGCUUCUGUGCAGAUGAGUCAGAUGAUAGAAGAAACCAAACUAGGUUUCUACGGUUUUACGAAGAAUAGUGAAGGGAAAAAUUGGCAACUUAUCUAUUGUUGAAAAACAUACCAAUUGUUGGAAUGGUGGUCACAAUCUCGCCCAGCUUCAGCUUGUACAGGAUGGUGGUCUUACCAGCAGCAUCGAGACCCACCAUAAGAAUUCUCAUCUCCUUCUUGGCGAAAAGCCGACUGAAGAGCUUUGUGAAUGAUAGCCCCAUCUUUGCCCUAAUCAAGAGGAAAGCAACUGAAGAUCACCAAUAUGGACUCUAAAUGAAACAGAUUAAAUAGGCAUAAAAAACUAAAACAGCAGGCUCUCCUGAACAAAGGAAAAAGUUACAUCCUUAUGGAUCAACUUGUGGACCAAUAAUGAUGUCAAAAACCUAACUUAUAUAUAUGUUGCCAAUGUCAAACAUGCUUAUAUUCCGCAUUACAUAGACAGUCAACACAAAUAUAUACAUACAUACAUACAUACAUACAUACAUACAUAUAUAUACAUACAUACAUACAUACAUAUAUAUAUAUACAUACAUACAUACAUACAUACAUACAUAUAUAUAUAUAUAUACAUACAUACAUACAUACAUACAUAUAUAUAUAUAGUAGGGCUAGAAUACUUGUAAAAGUAUCAUGGGGGUGAUACUUGUGUGUUUUUAGUCCUUGGAUGGAGAGAUGUGAGGUUGAGAUGAUGAUGGUAGGUGGUGAUAGGUGGUGGUAGGUGGAAUAGUGUUUAAUCUAAGGACUAUUAAUAAUCAAAAAGUAGAUCCAAUGACUUAAAACCUAAUAGCACCAUAAUGAUGAUACUUGUAAAAGUAUAAUAGCUCAACUCUCUCUCUCUCUCUCUCUCUCUCUCUAUAUAUAUAUAGAGUAGGGCUAGAAUACUUGUAAAAGUAUCAUCGGGGUGAUACUUGUGUGUUUUUAGCCGUUGGAUGGAGAGAUGUGAGGUUGAGAUGAUGGUGGUANCUAAAUUUAUUCGAAUUUUGAUAGAAAAUACUUUAAAUUAUCUAGAUCGGGGCCAGCAUCUUUGAUCUUGAAUUCAAAAAUGCUAUCCUCAAAAUUUAAAAAUUGUUCAAUUUUCACCAUUCUUUUUUGGCAUGAUUUACUUACUAAGUAAACGAUAUUGAAAAAAAAUUAAAAUAUUAUUUCUAAGAACUCCAUAUACCCUAGAUCAUAUUUAACUGUGAAUCAUUGAUUUGAACACUCUAAGAUCGAAAAUGUGACUACUAUAUAUAAUGAAUAAAUCUAAAUCCUCCUAACCUCAGGCACCAAUAGGUGCUCGAAUUCGCUUUCGGUCAAAUGCCCACUCCUUGAUCGAAAGGUUAGGUAUUUGAUCCAAAGGAUCUACCAAAGGGUGGAAAGUAAUAGACAUACUAUCUCGAUCCAAAUCUCAAACAUAUCCUUCAAAAUUUUGAACCCUUUUGAGGUUCCAAACAAUCAGAUAACAUGAUUUGCAAUCAUCUGCAGGUAAAUAACCUAGAUCCAUAGCAAAUACAAUUUAUGUUCCAAAAUGAACCAACAGUAAAUCACCUGACAUCCUAGAUCAAUCAAAAUGAUCAAAACGCCCACAUAACUUAUACGAAAUGGAGAAUAAAAUGAGCAAAUCAAACAGAUCAAGCCCUGAUCCCACCCCCAAAUCAUCUCCCCAUGUACAAAAACCUAAAUCACCGCACCAAAACGAAACCGAUCACAUCACAACUCCUCGGAUCUACAACAAUAUCGAAUAAAUCAGCAACAAUUACCCAAAAUUACCCCAAAAUCACCAAAUCCAACCGUUUCACCCCAAAUCAAACCAGAUCCACGAAAACCUAAACGGUAGAUCCAAAUCCAAAGCAAAGAGGAAACGAAUCGUAGAGAGAAAGAGAGAGAGGAGAGACGCUUACCGCGAGAGAGAGAGAGAGAGAGAGAGAGAGGAGCUCCACCACCAGAUCUUUUAGAAAGAGAGAGAGAGAGGGGGAGGGGUCGUGUAUUUAUCGGAAACGGAGAGUAACGGCGCUUCGGGUCGCCGUUAGUGAGAAACGGAGAUCCCGUGGUGACGCCGUUAAGCUUCGCCGUUAAGUUCGAGGUGGAGUCGCGUAGCGCCGGCCGGGUUGAACGAGUGGCAAAUUCGGUCAACGGAAGGUCGGUGUAUGGCAAGUUGUAAAAUAAAAAUUCGCUGAACCGGGUUCAUCCGUACGUUAUGUGCACCGAACGCUCUCAUCCACCGUUAUUAUCUCAUACUUCAAUCUCGACCGUCCAACUCCAACAACUGGGCCUUCGACGGGUGAAAAAAAUGUGGCUUUUUUUUGAAAUUGGAUGCUCACUUCAUUUUGUUAUUUUUAUUUUUACUUUUCCAUUGAUAUUUACCUAAAUAAAUUGAUGAUUCUAUUAAGUUCUAAUAAUUUUAACUAUUUGAGACAAAUUAUAUUUUUUUUUAAAAAAAAUACAGCUAAAAACUAAUAAAAUUAUUAAAUUUACCAGAUUAAUUGCUCACUGGUUAUGCUAUUAUUAAAGUUUAAACCAUCUUAAAAGUUUCUCCUGGAUAAGUAGAUUCAAUGCUUUAAUCUCUAAAUGUAUAGUGUUAAACACUAAUUAAAUUUAGUCAUUAAACUAAGGCCCUCAAUAAAAGAAUAAUAACACUAAACACAUAUUACUAUUACUGACCGUUCCUAACGCAAGUGACAAAGAAUUCGGUGAUUGAUACUCGAGUUCUCAAGUUCGAAUUCUAAUUAAUUCACAUUUUUAGCUAAAUUUAUUUCUCAAAAAUAAACGAACUUUGUAUUAUACCAGUCGCUGCGAUUUUACCUUUUAAAAAAAAGUGAUAAAUAAUGCAUACAACUUACAUACACGAGAAAACGAUAACUGAUUCACUGCUCUUCUUCCGUUAUGUAUAGUUUUUAUUUUAUAAUCUUUUAUAAGAAAAUAAAAUUAUAUAGGCUUUGAAAUGAGUGCGUGCACAACUAGCAUGCACAUGUAGUAGUUGGAAUCAUGUUUGUGUUUUGCAAAUCAUGUUGAUGUUCCUUUCAUAAGCAUAAACAAAUGAGAAGUCAAAAGACAUGACAUGUUACUAUGUUUGAGAAAAAUAAUAAUAAUAAUAAUAAUAAUAAUAAACACAAAUGCAAAGCAACACAAAAUUUUGUGGAAAGGGUUAGUUACAAACAUAGUUCAUCAACUUUGAUCCAGAUUUUGAUGGUAUGUUUAAAACUUUUAAUUGUGACAAAUUAGUUUCUAAUGUUUACCUUCAAUUUUAAUUUCAUUCUUACAGUUUUCAUGACCCUGAAAUUUGACUCAGAUUUCAAUUUCAUCCCUAAGCAAAACAUCUGAUUAACUUUCAUAAAAAGCAUUGAUCAGAAAAGCACUUAAGUGUUACGCAAAACAAACUACGAAAAGUAAAAUUUUAAAUUAAAUUAUGCGAAAGAAAUUCGAAAGAAGCUAAAAGAGUAAGGAAAUGCAUCUCCAAGCAACAACUGUUAAAAAACACAGCAAAAAGAAAUGGAGAGAAGAGAGGGUCACAGUUAAAGGAAGAGAGAGAUUUAAAGAGGUAAAAAUGAAUCAUCAAAAAAGAGAAAGCCUUGAAGAUUUCACAUUAGAUAAACUUAUACACCGCCGCGGCCCGAGCGCGAGUUCUGUCACAAGUUAUAAAUAUCGCAGGAAAGAGGCGAAAAAUCUGAACAGCAGGCAGAGAAAUUACCUAUAAAUACAAUCUACAUCCGAAAUCCAAUUCAGUGAUCUAUAUACCUGAAAAUGUAGGGGGGGCAAAGAGAAAACUCAGACAAAACCUUCAGUUUCGGGCACGGGGGGCAGGGGCGGGGGCAGGACGGGCUGGGAUCAUGAGAUUGAGCUGAAGCUCUCGAUGGGAUCCGACUCUUCCAGCAUCGACGCGGCUUGGAAGCAGUCCGCGGCAUCGGCCACCCUCCCGUCGUCUCGAUGGACCAUUCCCAAGUAGUACCAGGCCAUCCGAUUUGUCGGCUCGAGCCUUAGGGCGUCGGAGAGGAAGCUCCGAGCCACGGGCAAGGAUUUCGGUCCCUGUUUUAGCAGAAAUGAGCCGAUCGAUACCUUGCAUUGGACGUGGUCGAGCUCGAUGGAGUGCGCGUUGGUGUAAGCUGCCAGUGCGUCACGGGCCUGAUCGCGGGCUUCGUGCAUCGAACCUGGUUUUUUUUUUUUUCCCCAAAAGCAUAUGGAACAAUCAUAAUUAGCAAAUUAAUAUAACUGGGUGAAGAGAGCUGCUAUUUAAUGUAAAACUUGACCUUAGAGUUGGCAUUUUGAGUAUCAAAUGCAUUGAAUUGAUCAGCUUUCUAAUUGAUUAUUGUUGAAACUUUAAAGGGUUCUAAAUUCACAUCGGCAUAAAACAUAAAUAAUUGCUUGUCAUAUUGAUAACGGCAAUCUUAAGUGAUAACGGGAACUAUUUAGAACCAGUUUUGCUCUUUUUCCGAUAAUAUUCCGUCUCAAAAACUCAAAUCUCUUGAAGGUUUUCAUGAAACCAAAGGAAAAAAGUGAUAAAAUUAAUUCAUAAGUAUUUUGAGAACUUUUCUUAACUAUAUGUUUAGAGAAAAACCAAUUUAUGAACAGAUGUCCUUGUUCCUUACCUUCAGUGUGCAGUAUAGCAGCGGAAUAGGGCUUCAGUGCGCGAGCCUUCUCCAAGCAUAUCUCAGCAUCUUUCCAAUGUGAAAGACUUGAAUAUAGGUUAGCGAGACCGUGCCACACUUCAAACUCGCUCACCUUAUUGUCCUCAACCUAAAAAAGAUACCAGAGAAGUAAAAUCAGCAUAAGAAAGAUUACAUCUGCAUAUUGGCAUAUGAGCAACAAAUGAUCUUCGUUUCAGCCUUACUGCGCUCUCUUUGAAAAUUUAAAAAUCAAAAAUUAGGUUCAAAAGUAAUACGUAAAAAGUUAGAACAAUAGAGAAUAACUUUAGAAGGUGGAGGUUUAAAAAUGAGUAAAGCAAAUAUAUGGAAUACACAAUUAGUAACAUUAGGUGAGAGGAUAAGAGUUUAAUUAAGAUUAAUGAGAAAAGACAAAUCUAAAUGUAAGAAUUUUUCCUAUCUCAGGUGUAUUGCUCGAAACGGCAGAGAUGUUGAGGGAGAUAUAUGUUAAAUGAUUAACGCCGGAUGUAUGAAGUAGAAGAGUUCAGGCGGAGACAUUCAAAAGAAGCCAAUAUGCAUGCUAUGGUACCUUUCGGCUAUUUAGAAAUAGUGCAUCCCACAAGAGGAAGAUCACAAUUGAAAUGAGAAUGUUAAGAUGUUAGAAAUGAAGAUAACAGCUCUUAAAGUGACAAUAUCCCCAAAUGGAAGCAAAAUAACCAGCAACCGUUUGAGAUUAUAUAGACAUAUACAAUGAAGAGAUGCAAAAGCACUAAUAAAUGAGAAGAUCCAAUUGGAUUGUGGAAGAGUAGACAAAGGCCUAAAGGAGUAGGAAUAAUUUAUUCAUUACGAAUUUAAAAGGGAUUGUUCAGGCUAGGAGCAAGUGACAUAGAAACAAACAAAAGAUUCAAAGAUUCAUACAGAAAUCUGACUUUAAUGCAUCUUUAAGGAUUCAUGUGGUUAAGUUUCACAAUAAGAAAUAUAUUAACCUUCAGAAAAAGGCCGCAAAAAACAAUAUUCUAGCCAAAUAAAUGGCAGAUAAUUUUAUUAUAAGCACAAUACUAGAUGAGAGAGCAGCUAAAAGUGUAUUAGAUGUCAAAAAUAGAUUUUGUGAGCAAGCAAUCCAAACCUCAGCACUGCUUUUGAAAGAUCCAGAAGACUUUCUUUGGGCCUGAACAAGAGCAAGGAGGAAUCGAUAUGCUUCGACUGCAUCCAUAGGCGAGGACUGAGCCACUUUCAAUUUAGCCUUAAUUCUAAGGAGCGGCCCUUGCGCCCACUUUGCGGUCUCAUCUAGUGCAGCAUCAGUAACAACUUCUGCUUCUGAAUAUCUUUGCUGAGCCGAUAGAACCAAAGCCAGCAACCUCCAGCCUUUUAAAACCGAUCCACCCGUUGCUUCAAUACAUUCCUUGGCACAAUUUAGAGCAGCAUUUGUGUUUCUCUGCUCAGCAUAUUCAAGCCCCAAAUCAAAAAUCAAAUCUGGGUUUUCACGAUCGAGAUUCAUUGCCUCAUCUAAUGACUUCAGAGCUUCAGCUUGCAAGCGAGACCUUUCAUGGUCAGAGGAAGCACGUUUUGACUUUUUCCCCAAGCAAUUUCCUAAGAAGCGGAGGCCUACACUCUUCAGAUGCUCAUCUGCCGCUUCGGCUUUUGCAAUAGCUCUUUGUGCAUAUUCUACUCCCUCAGAAGCUAAAACGCAAUCCUGACUACAAAUCUUAGCAGCCAGCAAUAAUGCCAUUACAUCAUCUGGGCUUUCGUGUCUGUUUAAACACUUCCUCAAUAAAUUCAAAGCAGUUUCAUUUUGAUUUGCUCCGCUAUAGCAAAGAGCUAGAGUAUACCAUCUCUCAGUGCGAGGAUAUGUUCCAGGAAGUACUUCUUCAAAGUGCUUUGCCAAAACAAAAGUUUGGCCACAUAUAGAUAGUGCAAAAGUCAAAUGCUCCAUCAUCGACGAAUCCCAUUGGAUCUUCCCAAGGUACCAUUUUCUUAACAAUAUCAUUAGGAGUAAGAUAGCCUCCUCCAAAUUGUUCUUUGGAAUAAAUGAACCCUCGACUUGAGAAGCCAAACUGGGCGGCCUAGCCUCUACACCGCCAUAUAGCAAAAACACAGCAAACCUUUUCUGAAUCCUCGCACAGCAUUCAUCGUCGAGAUUCCAUUGACUGAGAAGAGCGCGCCUGUAAGAAGCUAGAGCUUCCUGAUAAAGCCCGGCCUGUUUCCAUAGCUCUGGAAGGAGCUCUACAGCCUUACUAACAGUUUCCUGUAAUUUCUGCUCAACCAUCACAUCAGGUAUGCCAUGUUGGAAUAUCUUUUCCACAGCAUCGAGAACACUUUUACAUUCUUGGGCGGCUUCUGCAUAAUUUAGUAAUCUUCUCCGUUUAAUAAAGUCUAUCCUCUAAACAAAAGACAAUGUAAGAGGACACAAAAAAAGCCUUUUUUUAUACAUAUCCCUCUAAAAUCUGAAUUUUAGUAUAUCCUCUCGGACGUGCAACUUUUUACAAAAAAUAUCCUUCUCAUACGUUGGGGAAGUCAGCUGAUUUAGUAGGAAAUUAUGUUUGUGAAGGGAACAACUCAAAAUUAAGUUUUUACAGGGAUAUAUAUGUAAACAAAAGAUUUCCAGGGGGCACAUAUGUAAAUCCUUCAAAGAUAAUACAUACCGUUGGCUUUGCCAAGCUUUUGAAGGGACAUGGACUUCAGGUAAAUGGCUUCAAGAACAAGGCUAGCAGCAUGCUGAGACACCGAAUGCAAUGAAUCUGAACCUGAAUGUGAGCGGCUCCGCCUAGAGGAAGGCUUUUCAGAAAGAGAAGGUUGCAAACGCUGAAUGGCAGCUUGAAGAUCAAUUCCAUCAAACACUCGAAGAGCAGCUUCUACAUUGCCUCUCUGAUAUUCCAGCCUUCCAAGAAGUGCUCUUGCUUCCUUCAAAUGUUCGAAGAAACAACAUGAGGAAAAUUGAGUAGGUCGCAUAUAAAUUCACAACGAAGAUAAAAGAUAAUCAUAUACAGUGGCCCCAUACUUUUCAAUCAUACAAGAGUAUAAUUUGUGACUAGUAACCAAUGCAUUUGUUAGCGCAAGCAUGAGCAUUGAAAGCAACUAAAAUAGAGAAAACAAAUAGCGCACGACCUGUCCUCAAAACAAACUCGCCUGAAAUAGACUGGAAUGGAAACCCAAAACAUACUAAAACGACCCAAAAACUACACCACCUAUCUCGAGAACAGCUUCCAACCCACCCCUCAUUAUCAAGAAAAUGAGGAAAAGAGAGAGACGACAAGGAACAAAUUUGGAGGAGAAAUGGCCGGCCCUUUACAAUCAAAUAUUGCAUAUAAUGAUAUAAAUAGUCCAAUGAGCGUUUGACGAAAGGUUUAACAAGCCAUUUGGCUUGGUUCGAAGUUUACACACUAACACAAAAAGAAAAAUCAUAUAUUUUCAAAGUAGUAAUUGUUCCCUUCACAUAACCUUCUAAAUUAAAUUUAUUUUUCCUUACCUGCUAACGAGAAAAUAUAUAAACACGCGCCAGCACAUGUAGAAGAAGUUCACCCACAAAUUACCCAAUGACUAAACUGUGUCUUAUUGAGAACUCUCCAUGACAAACCAUCAAAAUAACAUUUGAUAUAGGCAACCAAUGUCAAUUACCACAAUCAAGCUUCUAAUUAUUCAUGAAUGAAGUUUUUUUCGGUUUUUUCCUUCCCAAUACAUACUCAUAUAGACAUCUCUCACUACAAGAACACAUUUUUACCCUUGUUUUCCAAAUCCAAAUUAACAGCAUUUAAAAUCAUGCAAUUACCAAAGAGCACUAGAUACAACACUAUUACUUGAAUCAAAGAGAAGAUUCCCUUUAGAUUACAUUUGCUGCAUAGCUUAAAAAAAAACCAUUUUUGUUGAGCUACAAACUAUCAUAAGCAAGAUCAAAAUGCCAUUUUCCACAACAAAACAAUCCCCAUUUCUCCAGGUAACAAAAAAACAAAAACAAAAAACACAACAAGAAGAACGUCAUCAAACACAACACCAUCAAAUGCUUCACACUUUUUCUGAGAGAAAAACAAAAAAAAAAAAAAAAAAAAACUAACAAACACUAGAAUCAAUCACAUUGCUAUAAUUCCCAUCACUAGUAGGAACAACAAUCCACAACAAAAAUAGCAUCAUCAUCAUCAUCAUCAUCGGCCCCAACAGAGAGAGAGAGAGAGAGAGAGGGAGACCUCGUAGUUGAGGGAGAGGCCCUCGCGGAGAGAGGACUCGGCCUCCUGGAUGUUGCCCUCGUCGAGCUUCGCCUCCACCUCGGAGGUCUUCAUGGAGAGGCCAUUCACCGACACCACAUCCUCCUCCUCCCCCGCAACUCCCCCACCCCCACCACCUCCGCCAUCUCCGCCGCCCUCAAACCCCAUCGCCGCCGCCACCGCCGCCGCCGCGGACUACGAGCAUCCGAUCACGAGAUCGGGGUAGUUAGGGGUGGAUCGGGGGAGGGGUGGGGUUAGGGUUCGAGGUGGGGAGCUCACCAUGGAUGGGGAUGGGGAUGGGAAUGGUAAUGGGGGAGGAGGGGCGGUGACGGGAACGAGCGGGGUGGGGAGAGAGCGAGAUCCAAAGAGUUAGGAACCCCUCUCUCUCUCUCUCUCUCUCUCUCUCUUACACACGCACAGGUUAAAAAUAAAUAAUAAUUUUUAAAAAAUAAAUAGAUGGAUAAAUUGCAGGAAAACCCCUGUAUAAAUAUAUAUUGUAUCUUACCCCUCUCUCUCUCAUACAUACACAAGUUAAAAAUAAAUAAUAAUAAUAAUAAUAAAGUAAAUAGGUGAAUAAAUUAUAGAAAAUCUUCCUGUAUAUAUAUAUAUAUAUAUACAUUGUAUUUUUAGCCCUCUAUCUGUCAUACACAAGUUAAUAAUAAAUAAUAACAAUAAUAAUAAUAAUAUAAAAAAUAAAUAGAUGGAUAACUUGCAGAAAACCUUCCUCUAUAAAUAUAUAUAUAUAUAUAUUGUAUUUUACCCCUCUCUCUCUCAUACAGAAGUUAAAAAUAAAUAAUAAUAAUACUAAUAAAAUAAAUAGAUGGAUAAAUUGCAGAAAAAUAAAUAAUAAUAAUAAUAAAUAGAUGUAUAAAUAUAUAUAUUGUAUUUUACCCCUCUCUCUCUCUCAUACACAAGUUAAAAAUAAAUAAUAAUAAUAAUAAUAAUAAUAAAAUAAAUAGAUGGAUAAAUUGCAGAAAACCUCCUAUGUAAAUAUAUAUAUAUAUUGUAUUUUACCCCUCUCUCUCUCUCAUACACAAGUUAAAAAUAAAUAAUAAUAAUGAUAAAAUAAACAUAUGGAUAAAUUGCAGAAAACCUCCUGUAUAAAUAUAUAUUUUGUAUUUCAAUUCUCUUAUAGGCCUGGGAAAAUCUUUUAAAUCUUAAUUUUCUGUCGCGUACUAGUUUUGUUUUUGUCUUCAGAUUCUUUGAAUGUUUUUUAAUACUAAAAAUUAAAAAUAAUUCUUUAAACUCUAAAGGAAAGAAUUGUAAGACUCGGAUAGAGACGAAAACAACAAUGAAGCAUCGUUGGCGAGCUUCUCACUGAAGUUUUUUUUUUUUUUUUUUUUGGGGUUCCUUAGGCUUUGUCUAGAUAUUGGAAUAAGUUGUAGAUAAAAACAUGCAAAAUUUACUUGAAUUAUGGACUAUUUUGAAUCGGCUAUCUAAUCUUUUAAAAUUUUAAUUUUAUUACCUAAUCUUUCAAUCUGUUUGAUUUGAAUCAAUUAACAGUAUUUUGGCUUCAAAAAUUAAGCUAAUUACUUACUUUCAUAAAUUUAGAUGUUAGCCGGUGGCCAACCGUUUGAAAUUUUGAUUUUUUGCUAUCCAAAUUUUUAAUCUAUUUGAGUUGAGUCAGUUAAUGUUACUUUGACUUCAAAAUUUAAACUAAUUACUUUUUACUUUAAUAAAUUUAGAGUUAUGAAAAUUGUAUGAAAUAUACUAAGUAAACAUGUGAAGAUAAACGACGCAUUUAUUUAAAAUUUAAAAUAAAAAUGCCACUAACUGACUGAAAUCAAACAAAUUAAAAGGUUGCGUAGAAAAGUCAAAAUUUUAAAAAGAAAAAACUUCAAAAAACCCCCUAUGGUUUUGCACUUUUUCAUUUUAGUGCCCUAUAGUUUAAAGUGUACCAAGUUAGUACCCAGUGGUGUCGCACUUUCUCACUUUAGUAUCAUAUGGUUUAAAGUGUAUCAAGUUAGUACUAUGUGGUUUUUAUUUUUGUUUCAAGUUAGUACCCUGUGGUUUUAUUUUUGUAUCAAGUUAGUACCCCGUGGUUUUAUUUUUCUCUUAAUAAAAUAUUAAACCACAGGAUACUAAAGUGAGAAAAUGCGAAACCGCAGGGUACUAACUUGAUACACUUUAAACCAUAGGGCACAAAAAUGAAAAUGUGCGAAACCACAGGCUACUAACUUGAUACAUUUUAAACCACAGGAUACUAAAAUGAGAAAAAGUAAAACCACAAGAGGGAUAUUUGAAGUUUUUUCUUUAAAAAAAUUAGAUAGUCGAUUCAAAAUAAUCUCCAAUUCAGAUAAGUUAUAUAUAUUUUUACUGAUAACUUAAUGGGAUGUUUGGUUUCUCAAAAAAAAAUAGAAUUAUUUUUCAAAAAAAAUGAGUUUUAUGGAAAAAUUUUAUUUCUAUAGUCUUUGUUAUUCGGAUAAAAAAUUUAGAAAACUAAAAGGAGUCUUUUUUAUGAAAUCAGAAACUAUUUUUUUUUAGACAACUAACGGGCGAGAAAUACUUUUCUAAUUAGAAAAUUAUUUUCUAGAUUUUUUUUUUUAACAGAAGCAAACACGCUCUUAUUCAGUAUAAAAAAUUUUCUGUGUAAUUGAAAGGUAGAAGUUUGAUAUUUGCUUCUAUAUUUUGACAAUUCUCCCUUUUUUUCAAUUUUUGGAAUAAACUUAUAUCUUGGUCCCAAACAAUUUUGUGCAUAUUUUUUACUUUACUAGUCUUUUCUUGUAAGCAUGUACGUCGCAUUUAAGCCCAUUCUAUUUUCAAAUUUUAAUUUGAUUAUCUAAUCUUUCAAAUUAUUUAAUUUGAGUCGGCCAAUAAUAUUUUAACUUAAAAUGCUUAAAUGUUUUGUUUACUUUUACAACGAUAAUUGAUGCAAAUUUUAUAACUACAAAUGUAUUAAAAUAAGCAAUUAUCUUAACUUUUAAAUUAUUUUCAAAUCAACAAAAUAAUUCAUAGUUUAGAUAAGUUCUGUAUAUUUUUAUACUAAAUAAGUUCAAUGACAUAGAUUUUUUUAAUAAAAAAUAGGGUUAAUUACAUAUAGGCCCCUGCAAAUAUAGUAAAUUAUAAAUAUAUCCCUAUAAAGUUUAACUGUUAUAAGUUAUUUCUGCAAAAGCCCUAAUUCUUUCAGAUAUGUCCCUCUGAUUUGUUACCGUUAGAAAAUUAUUUAUAUUUCCAACUUUAUCAUCAUAAAUAUAUCCCUCUAAAAAUUAUAACAGUAUAAUAUAAGAGAGGUAAAAAUGUCAAAAAUUAAUCAGGGUAACGAAUUUAACCUAUGGUUAACUAAACUUUUCUAACGGAUUCUAACGGUAGGAAUAUAUCUAAAAAUAUUAGGACUUUUGCGAGAUAAAAAUAUAUUUACAAUUCACUAUAUUUGUGAGGAAUUGCAUGAAUUGACCCAAAAAAAUAAAUGUCAGGGACCAAUGUGAAAUUAACCCCCUUGUUUGUUUUUUUUUUUUUUUUUUUUUUUUUUUUUUUUUUUUUUUUGAUAGAGNGGUCCGUAUCAGCUCCGAACCCCAAUAAAUGACAUACCGAUAAGCUUCCAAAUGGACUUUGUCCACCCAUACACAACUGUUCUAUAUUUGGAAAAAUUAUUUUUCACUAUUCUAUAAUUUUAUUUUUAUUUAUUAUCAAGUAAAUAAAUAAGAUUGAAAAAAAAUAUUUUUCGCAAUUUACAGAAUAAAAAAUUAUCGAAUUGCACUUCUCAAUUAGAUACGUAUUUAUAGUGGAAUAAAAAUAAAGCCACAUAAUAAUUAAAGAUUAGGUUUGGAAUUGCGGAGCGAUUGUAAUACGCGCAAAAAUAUCAUUCAUUUUGUAGUUAAUUUCGUAUUUUGUAUAUCGUAAUCAAUCGGUUAAUAUAUCUUUUUUUAACUAAAGUUAUUACUUAGCUGUAAAAAAAAAAAACAUUCAUAUUUCAUAAACGGUCCCUAAACUCUUAAAAAAAAAAAAAAAAAACUUCAAAUACCACUCAUGUAAUUUCGCACUUUCUCAAUUUACUAUCCCAUGAUUUAAAAUAUAUCAAUUUGGUACCCUGUGCCCCUGUGGUUUUGUUUAUUUAUUUUUAUUAUAAAUUCUAGUAACUUUUUUUAUUAAAUCAGUGAAAGAUUAAAACUAAAGAAUACUAAAGUGAACAUUCGAUAAACCUAAAUAAGAUAUCUGAAGUUUUGUGUAUANGAGAUACUGCGGUGAUACAAACCAACCACGGCUUCUAGAGCUAAAUCAGAUAGUAUAAGCAUACGACGGGUCAAAUCGCUGGUUUUCUUCUAAAUCAAAUUCCAAGUCUAACAUGUAUAAUUUAUCUGAUUACUAUAGUAUGCUCCAAAUUCAGAUUUUAUUUAAUAUGCUAAUCAAUGAACUCGAGCUAAACAUGAUAUAUCAAAGCCGAAAUUAUAUAUGUCUACUAUGCAUAUGCUUAGGAGGCAAAACCGAUGAUAAACCCACCUUCGCGCAACUCCACAGCAGCAAGUACAAAAAUUUCGAAUCAUUGUUAAAUUUAGCCAUAAAAACUUUGUGGAUUUUAGCAAGUUUGUAGAUAGAGCUCACUAUAUUUAUUAUAUUGGAAUCAUAUAAAUUGGAUAAAAAUGUAGAAUAAUGUAAUCAGUCAAUUCAUUUUAGUGAAGUUCUGCAACCAUAUUCAACAAUUGUUCAAAAAUUUUGAACCUAUUUCGGGCCGUAGUAAAGUAUGGCUAAGUUUAUUUUUAGGUAAGUUUAUUUUUUUAAAAAAAUAAACGAAAUAGGUAACAUAUUAUCUAUCUCUACAAAAAAAUAAUAAUUAGUGCAAAUUUUAAUGCAUGGGAAUAAUUGAGACAUGAGGGCAUUUGCCAUUUCACCUAAAAUAUUUAAUGUAAUUAGUGAGGCAGAGAUAAUUAAAUUUCACUGAUUCGAAAGAUCGCUGUGGAUCCUGCUGAUUAGUGUGUGAAUUAUUUUCACUAACAAUUGUAAUCCACGUAGCAUGAAAAAGUAAUCAUUACACCUUUAUAACUGUUCUUCGAACACUCGUAAAAAAAGAAGGUAUAUAUUCAUCUAUAUAUAAAUAGAAAUUGUACUUCUCUUUUAACCGCAGAAUUCAUAAAAAUUUAAACAAAAUUCUAUUUUUAAAAAAUUUUAAAAAAAAAUUGAAUGGACAAAAUAUGCAUGUUACAUCAUAUCUAUUUAGUAAACUCUUUCGAUCUUUUUUUUUUUUUUUUUCUCUCUCUACAUGUGAAACAUGUGAUGUAAAUGUGAAAACGACAUAUACCGACCACCAUGUAUAGAUGGUCCAUCCCCAGCAUGCGCAAAGUAGGGGGAUUUAUUUCGUGGCCUUCUAUAGUGGGCAAGUGAAUAUAUAUAUAUAUAUAUAGUUGGACUGGGCUAUUAUUAUUAGCAAAAUUUUAUUGUUGCUAUCAAUUUUUUAGCCUUUGGAUUAACUCUUUUCAUUAUUUCUAACUAUUAGAUUAAAUACUAUAACCCAGUAGAGACCACUCAACCCUAGGGGGACCACUCAAUUCUAACCGACUAAUAUCAUUCUGACCCUACAAUUUUUCAUCUAAGGGUUAAAAAUUUGAUAGCAAAAAUAGCGUUUUACUAUUAAUAGUAUUCCAGCCUAAUUUUAUAUAUAUAUAUAUAUAUAUAUAUAUAUAGCAUUCUAUUUAUUUUAUUUAUUGAAUAUUGAUAAAAUAAAUUAGAUAAAAUGAGAUG
rnacentral:lncRNA from 1 species